rnacentral:lncRNA from 1 species
GUUUCAUUUUUAUCUUUUCGGAAGCUUUUUCGUUAAUAUUUCGUUAAAUUAUAUACAAAAAACUUCAGAUAACCAUCUAUAUUUAUCGAAAAGAUAAAAACGAAACCACAGGGGGGCAAAUUGAUACGUUUUAAACCACAGGGUAGCAAAGUGAGAAUGCACGAAACCAUAGGGGGGGUUUUUGAAGUUUUCCCUUUUUUAAAAGAUAACUCAAAAUAAUUUCAAAAAUUAGAAAAUAAAUUUAGAACUUAAAAGGAGUCAAUCCUAUCUUCCAAUCAGCUGGUGGAAAAAGAAAUAUGUGGCUUUCUCCUCCUUUCAUUUUGGUUGCUUGAAAAUUGAUUUUUCGACCAACUCCGACAAACUCAAGUAAGUGGUGUUUGGCCUAACUUUUGCAAAAUAAUUUUGAUCAAGUAAUUUUUUACACAAUAGUGUGUUUGAUAAUUUCGUUUUCGAAAUUUAAUUCUAAUUUUUAGUCUAAUUUUUAAAGCCUAAAAUCAGAAGCAGUUAAAACUUCAUUCUUAAAAUUUGAUUCUGAUGACUCAAAUUUUAAAAUUUUAUUUUUAUUUUAGAUUCAAAUUUUAAAUUUUAUAUUUGAAUUUUUAAUUUUUAAAUCUCAAGUUUCAAAUUAAAAUUUUAGAUUUAGAUAUUAAAUUUCAAUUUUAAAAUUUCUAAUCUCAAAUUUUAAAAUUAAAAUUCAAAAAUUAAGAUAAAAUUUAAAAUAUGAAGCUUUAAAAUUUUAAAUUUUAAAUUCAAAAUUUUAAAAUUUUAAAAUUUAAAUUAUAAUUUUCAAAUCACAAAUUCAAAUUUUAAAAUAAAAAUAAAAAAUUUUAAUUUUAAAUUUUAAGUUUUAAAUCUUAAGUUUUAAAUCUUAAAUUCAAAAUUUGAAUUUUAAAUAUUCAACUUUUAAAUUUUAAAUUAAAAUAUCAAAUUUUAAAAUUUUGCGCACAUUUUAAAAUUAAAAUUAAAAUUAAAAUUAAAAUUCAAAAUUUUAACUUGAAUUUAAAUUCAAAUUUUGAAUUAUUUUAAAAUAAAAUUUAGUAAAAAAAUUNNNNNNNNNNNNNNNNNNNNNNNNNAAAAGAAGAGAUGGAAAGAGAAUGAAAAAGAACUGAUUUACUUUUUUUUUAUUUGUUAGAUGACAAUAACUAUGUGAUGCAUUAAUUGGAAGUGAGCGGACGAAGCAUCGGGCGAUAGAUAAGGGGCCGGUGGAAAGACGAAGCAUCUCAGAAGUAGAAGGGAAGAAGGCAGGGUGAAUGGAGGACUGCCAAGUGCAAAAUUCUAUGGGAUAUAUGUAAUAUAGUAUAGAUAGUAUGAUGCCAUAAUCAAAUGAUGGGAUCAAAUAUACUGUUUGUAUACCUGUUUAAAGAACUGUGCUAAUCCCUUAGAUUCAUGUAAUCCAAUGUCAUUUUAGUUUGAGACGAUCAUAGACUCAAUCAAAGUGCGUUGGAGUUGGAACACCACCUUUCUAGAAAAUAUAAGCCCAGAGAGUUAGUCAUGAGAAAUGCAGAAUGAUCUCGUGUGAUUUAUUGUCUGAUUGUUUAGUAACUCAUGGUAAGGUUGCUUCUGUAACAUAAUUGCAAUUCUCCAAAUUAGAGGAAGAACAUCCAUUUUAUUCUAGAAUAUGCCGUGGUGGCUUGAACACUGCUCAUAAUCCCGUAUUGGCAUACUUCAAUCUCAUGCUAUAGGCAGCCCUUGAUCGCAUAAAAGUAACUUACUCAUAACUAACAUAGAUAUUCUGUACUUGGAUUUAAAACAUUAAAUUUGCCAGUAUGUACAAUAGCAUUUCUUUCGUGUGGGGGGUAUUUAAUAAAGGUUAGGGUUGAUAUGGUAAGAGUUUCAACAAUGCUUAAUCAAGGUGCAUAUGCAACGGCUAUGCACCAAAAUUUACAUCAAGUUACCAGAGGACAGCCACCUACUUGGUGCAUAUUAUUGUUAUUAUUUUUAAUUAGGAAAUGAUGUGCAUGGACGAUAGUGUACUUUUUUAUGACUAUUGUUUCAUUCUUUUACUCUUGUUCUUCCUAAUUCCCUAUGCUUAUCAAGUUAGCAGGUUUCUGAACAUUUGGGUAUCUCAUGGAUUUUGGUACACAAUGUCAAUUUUUAGGGCAAUAUGCUUCAAAGGAUGAAUGGCGAAAAAGCAUUAUUUUAUUUUGUUGAUUAUAUAACUAGUUUCUUACUAGGAUCGCAACAACUGCAAUCAUAACUCAUAAAAUGUUGCUUUUCUCAUUACAGUUUUCUUGAAUUCUUAAGCAACUGCCUACCUAAUGCAUUUAAUGCACUUAGUUAACAUUCACAACCUGGGUUCCUUAUAUUUUCUCCCUUUUAGCAUUCCUGCAUGACAUGUUUAUGUAGGUUAUUACACCGCUUGUUGGCCAGUCUCUUGUUUCAACAUCUAAAUGGAUAACUGUUAACUGCCGUUAGUGCCAACAGAUAUCCCUAUUUGUUACUGUCAAAUUUGGCCAAAUAUAUCAUUUGGUUUUGAAAUUUUGAAUUAACCUACUGACUACUCAUAGUACAAUGAAACCUUGUCUGGACUGUUCAAAAUUAUUUUGACAUCGUAAACUGAUAUUUCAGAUCCUGUACCUGAAAAAGUGCUGAUAUUGACCUACAAUGAGAUGCUGACGAUAUCGAAUGGUAUUGGAUAUCCCUGAAAAAGGAAUUUCCGGGCUUUAAAUAGUAUGGACUUUGGAGGAAAAAUAUUUCUGUUGAGGGAUCAUGGAGAACUGCACAAGGUAAUAAAGGCGUAUUCGAAGACAACAGAAUUUCUCCAAUUCUACAGUAAAUACUGGAAUGUCUUUAAUUAAGGGUAAUUUGGUGAUGAUAAUCUGAUGAUUCUCAGGGGCCUCUAACAGAAUUAGCAGGAUCAUUCUGUUUGUGUGUCGCCCCCUCUGGAUCUUCCGUUAACAGGUUCAUUGUAGUAUGAGAAACGGGAGAUACCAUCCUGAUCUCCGUCCGAAAUUGUGAUGGAGAUGGGCAAACUUUUAAUCUCUUGACCAUAUGUAUGUAUUUAAUUUUGUUUUUCUGUCUGACAUCCUGUUUAAUUAAGUAAAAACAUAUACGGAGCCCUUUGUUCUUUCACAGAAUUGCGACUCGGUCGUGAAAUUUUACUAAUAUGAUUUAGUUCUGAUAUUUUUUAAUUUUUAUUUUAUUUUUACAAGUCACAUUCUGACUUCUAAAAUGUCUGUUAUGCUGGUGCUCCACACUUGAAGGUUUUUGUUAUUAACUGCUAUUCUUAACCUAAUCAAGACCCUUUUUUCUAAUGAACUCUCACUUUACCCUUCUCAUAUUCUUAUUGUCAGAUUCCUGUUUGGGCUAAACUGGGCCAUUUAAAACAGUAAAAGGGUAUGUGAGCACAUCAACAUCGGCGGUACGUCUUCUGUUUGGACAUUGAAAACAAGGUCAAGUAUUUGAUCAAAAUUUAGUGAUUAAAUCUUGAGUUGAAACAGUUAAAAGGCACUAGGUUGAAAUCAUUCGAGAAAUAUAGAAAUUUAUUUGUGUUGUCGAAUCAAUUUUUUUCCCAUGCUGUGACCACUUCAUCGAUUUAAAUUUCCUUUUCAAAUUCAGGAUAUUUCCAGAAAGUGUGAAACAGUGUUUCCGGUCGAUUGCCACCAUCCCCAGAUUCGAGUUAAAGUUGCUGGCGGCCUGAUCAAGACUACGCAACAGAGCCGCCAGACUGUCCCGGCCCAGGUGCAUUUACCAGUCCUUCAGAUGCAAGACUCUGAUGAGUCUCGUCCGAUGCCGUUCCGCCUUGUUCUAACCACCAUCGUUCAUAGAGAAAGGGUCAGGCCGGCAACGCUUGUGGCCUGGCCUGCCACGUCCACUCCAUAGUAGUCACGUCUUGGUCGUGUACAAGCUUGUGUACAGAGAUAGCAACAGGGAAGCGUAUUUCUUUACUUGUCGGCCCGCGAGGCAAGCCUCUGCAUUCUAUCAUUGAUCAGGAAUCAGAUCCGCCUAGAUGUAAUGAUUCUUUGUUCUCGACGAUGAGAAAAGAAGUGCAUCGAACAUGCAAAGAGCGCUUUGCUCGAAUCAUACUCUUACUCGCCGAUUUCUAUCAGGAGUAAAAUUAAUUCUCAAUCUUUAUGGUGCCAAUUUCCUCUGAAUAAACCUGGUACAGAUGGCCCUUCUUUUUUGUACACCUCAGAAACAAUCUCUUGCUCAUGUAUGUGGUCUUUUUUUUUUUCUUUUAUUCUUGUGGCCAUUUCUUGAAUAAUGAUAAUAAUAAUAACAGGAAGCGUCUGGUUUAUGUAUGGAUUCCGCCUUUGUAUAUUUUUAAAUUAUUUUGAAUUGUACAUUUUAAAUAUUGCAGUUGUUGCUUCAUAGUUAGGUGAGAAUUUCUAUUUUGGUGGUCGGAAGUGAUCUUAAUCUAUCCAUACUGUUCAUUGCAUCUUCAAUGCAUGUUAUCAUUGAAAUGUAAUCAAAUUUAUCAGUAAAUAGCAAUCAAAUUAGAUCAUACUGUAAACAAAGGUGAAGAAAUUUGCUAUUCAGAUUGUCAAAACAAAGCAAAAGGGAAAAAAGGUAUGGAAGACCCUAACUUAAUAAGCUCCUCUUAUCUUACUUUUUUUUUUUUUUUGAAUUACAAAUUUGGAUAAUUAGACCUUUUAAACUUAUAAAUUGGUCAAUGACUGCGUCCUUCAACUUAAUAGUUACUAAUUAUAGAGUUGUCCGGCCGUAUAUUUGCAUGUAUUUAUAAAGCUUCAAAGCAUAAAAGUAUUAUUUUUCCAUUAGCUUCAAGGACACAAAUUGAAGUUAAGUAAACUCCAGUUCUUCAUCUCCCAUAUUUUUAAUUAUAAAAAUCGAAGAGAAAAAAAAAUAGUUUUCUUUUUUGGCAUUUCGAAGUUUUACCAGAUUCAUUACAGCUUGUGACUUAAAAUGGUUUCGUAAUUAGUAAACUUCGAUUGAAUCGGACCUAUUAAAUUAUUUGAUAAAUUUUUAAAAAUUUAAUUGCCAAAUUGAGAGUUCAGAUGCCAGUUUAACAGCAGGGUACACAUUGGAGUUAUGAUUUCGUUGGCUGUUUGGUAAUAUUUUUUCUCCCAAACUUAUCUUAAGAAAACCAAUUAUUAACUUCACCAUCGUUCAAAUUGCAAUACUUUUAUUAUUGUAUAUUUUUAUUUUCAUUUUAGCUGAGUUUGCUGCCCAUUCGUAGGCCAAACACACUUCCUCGAUAUUUUUGAGGCACAGAAAAUUUGAAUACGUUAAAGCUUCUUAUCAUGGCUAUGAAAUGGCGCAUGCGUGAAAUUAUUAAACAUUGGAUGUCUUCUUUGGUGCAGUUUUGUCACAUUUUAGAACAUGUGGCCAGCACCACAUUUUUGCAUAUUUAUCAGUACUGAAAAAUGGUGUGAAUUUAAAAAACGAAGCUUCAAUCUGCUUUUGACAUUUGGAGAAACAACUAGAGCUUUUAGUUAAUCGGUGGCAUUACGUUAUGAUGAUUCUGUAUCGAAAGCAUUAUCUAGUUUUAAGUUGGCGUCGUCAAAACCUAAUAACGCAAAAUAUUCAAAAUUUUUACUCGUGAAUGCAGAAAAAUAAUCGCUUCGAAGCUUCUAACACAGCAGAAGUCUAAUUUAAAUUUAUAUUAUAUUUACAGCAAGAUAUUACUAAAAUAAUUAAUAAGUGAAAGAAAUAUUAAAAUUUAUUUUAAUUUCUAAUCGAAGUCGUAAUCCAACUAAUAAAGUUAGUCGUUUGAUCCUUGGCGCGCAUCAAUUUUGUCGCGUAAUCAAAAAAAAAAAUCAUUGUACCUAGACAAUGAGUACCGUACACCUAAUAAUAAUCGAGACAAAUGAAUUGAUUCACCAUUUCUAUUAUUUGACAACAAAAUAUAUUUAAGUGCAUGGACAUUGGAAGAAUGUAACUAGUUUUUCUCAUUUUUUUUUUUAUUUUCUAUGUUUUUUUUCUUCUUUUCUUUAUAAUAUCAACAUGCAUUCUCAAAUCAGACAUUUGCUGAAAAGAAUAUAGAUAUAUAAUUAAAGGUUUAACAAAACAUCUAAUCUAAAUUCAAAGUUAAUUAAACUCAAAUAAGCUUACGCUUGUUUUGUUUUUAGAAGCACCGAUGGGCUCCUAUGCGCCAUAAUUCGUAUUAUGAUGCUUGGAACUUCGAAAUCGAUAAUCGAUCAUAUUAAACCUUGAUCUAAAGUAUUUGAAUACUUAAAAAUAAUUUUUUAAUAUCAUGUUUAGCAGUCAAAGGGGUGUAAAAUCAACGCAUAUUUAAUGAUCGUGAAUGAGCCGUAGCAAGUCUUUAAUUAUGUCGUAAUUAUUCAAAUCAUAAAAAAUUUGAAAUGAAAUAUUUUUUAUAUGUAUCAAAACCAAAUCAGUAUUUUGAUGCUAAAUAUUUAAUGUCUAGUAUAUUAUUUUUAUGUUUAUUUUUUCUUACGUUGAUUUUGAAGCUUUAAAUUUCUAAGUAAUUAAUAUCGAAAAAUUAUUAAAAUUGCUGUUAGAUACUUUACAGAUAUCUAAAGAUUAAAAUUAACAUGAGUCGAUGAACAAUUCCAAAAGUCCUAAUAUCGAAAACUGGCUUUGAUAGGACUGGACCAUCGUAUUUUUCUUAAAAUCACAUGCGGAAUCAUCAAACAUAAAUACUAAAAAAUAAAAAAUAAAAAAUAAAUUUGAGGUCGGUCGUCUAAUUUAUGGUAACUUGAAAGUCUCCAACAAUUUAGUUUUACCAAAAUUAACAUUCAUCAAAACCGUCCAUAUAGCAGGCAGACAGAAUUGUUACAUCAACGUCCAGAUGACAACCAACCGGCUACCAACGCAACAAAUUCCUCACACCGACGCGAUUGAGUGACGAGUAACGGACAAGUUAACGGGGGCGCCGCUCCCUACUGAACGCAGCGAAGUAUGACGGGCGUGAACGUGGCACCGCCUCCCUACGUCAAUAAACGACGCUCUCCGCGUUCAAACCCGCGUCGAGGGACAAUCCGUAAUUUACAGCAGCACGCACAAAUCAUAUAAACGCCGAUUUAAUUAGACGCUUUUCUGGACACGCAGAGAGGAGUGUGUGUAAAUAAGCGAACAGGGAAGGGCAUUUGGGAAAGUGAGGUGUGAUUUUCCACUUAACCAUUUGGCUUAAAUUACGAAAUUACCCUGACGCGUAGGAUAUGUUGAAAAUGCGAAAUCUGCCCCUGACGGGGUUUUUCUUUUCUUUUUUUUUUCUCAUGAGCUCGAUGUGAAUCGGAACCGUUCGAUCUGAAUCGAACGAUGGAUCUCUGGUGCCAUUCUUAUUAUCGGAUUUGGAUUAGAUACGAACAGGCCGUGCAAUGUACGGUACGACAAUCAGAAAACAAGAGGACACUGUGGACGUCUACAUUAAAUUCUUCUGUGGGGCCCACUGUAUAAAUACCAUUUCAUGUUCCACACCAGAAUUUGAUUUUUUUUUCUUAUUAUUUGGAAAAAUGUUAUAUGCUGCACUCCAUCCAUUUUAUAGAGAGAGAGAGAGAGAGAGAGUGUAAGGACUAAUAUUUCUUAUGACUAUAUGAGCCAUUUUUACUCAUUAUUAUUUCUAAUAACAUGGACCUUCUGAAUUGAUGAUCCAUAAUGUUAAAUAUAAACUUGAGUAUUUAAAACUUCUAGAAUAAAUUUUGUAAAUUUUCGAAAUCAUAAUAAAUUCAUCAAGUGGAUAAAUACAGUCAAAAUUGAACGUCUUUCAAAAUAAAUGAUCCGGAUCUUUCAAUUUAAAAUAGAAGUUAUGAUCUUUAUUGAUAGUGAAUAAUAUUUUCUAUCAGAAAUUCAAUUCAAUUUCCGGUUCUUUACACCUAUAUUUUAAACUAGCAGUAUUUUCAUACCAGCCAUUAAAAAUUUUAAUUCAAGAUCUUUUGAUCAUACGUAAAUGAUAUCAAAAAAUUAUGAAAUUUUGAUUUCUAGAAUUUUCAAAAUACUCUAAACUCUCAUUUUAUUUAAAUAAUUAUAUAAAUCAUCGAUUUUUAAAUAUCCUAUCAUCGAGGACCAAUUUAUGAGUACCGAAUACCCAUAAAGAAAAAUUGAUACUUAAAAUUAUACUAAAAUUAUUGAAAAAUAAAAAGUAUCUCUCUAUUUUUCACUCAGCUUCCGUUUUGCUAAGGAUGUGUUUUAUUUUACAAGAAAGCAGAAAAAAAUUAAAAUAAUUUUAGUCAUAAAUGCUCACUUAUGUUGUUGUGAUUCAUUGCAAGUGAAUUAAUGGCCUAACUUAAGCUAUUCAAGUAUCCUAAUUAAUUUAGUUCAUCAAUGGCUAAAAGUCAAUUAUAGAAGAAAAGGAGUCAUGAAAUAUAAUAAAAUAUUAAUGUUGGGAACUUGUUUUCGUCCUCCAUAAUAUCACGUUGAGAAUUAAAUAAUUUUUUAGUGAAAAAAACAGAAUAAAAAAAUUAUCUUUUAUACAAUUAACUUUCUGGCCAAAUAGACAGCAGAACUAGAAUUUAUUUCUGCAACUAUAAAAAUAAUUUACAGAGGAGAACUAAUUUUCAUCUUAGCUUUAGUUCGACUAAAAAUCUAUUUUACACUUAAGCUUUAAUUUUGAUAAAACAAAUAUGCUUCAAAUAAUAUUAUUAGUCCCAAUAAAGGUGGUGAUAAAAAUAUAUUAGAAAUUAAAUUGUAGACUAUUUAACUUAAAUUUAUUUGAUUUAAAUCAUUUCACAUAUAUAUUGAUACAAAAUUAAAUCAAAUUUAUUUAUUUCAAUAAAUUAUAGUUACAAAUUUAUUAAAUAUACUAGUUAAAUAUAUAAAAAUAAACGAUAUAUUUAAAAUUUAAAAUUAAAGCCCCAUUAACAACUUAAAUCAAAAAUAUAUAUAUCAUAUCUUGAAUUUGUUUUUAAAAUGAAAAGGCAUGUGGGCCCACCAAUGCAAUAAUAAUUCGACACAAAGAUCAACAUGUCGUGUCGAAUUAGUUACACUCAACCCUCCUCCGUAUGAUUUGAAAUGCAACUGGGUACGGAUGAGAAUUUACGGAACUGAGGGUAAUUUAGUAAAAACGCAAACAGACCCUUAACGUCAAAAAGCGCCGUGAAACACGGAAAACCCCUCCUAUAUAAUAGACCCGUAAAUUUCCGAAUCCAAGGGCACAAAUCGCUCGAUCCUCUCUCUCUCUCUCUCUCUCUCUCGCCUCUCUCGGCGUUCUCUCCUGCUUCCGUUCUCGCUUUCGCUCGAUCUCCGCGGAGGCGCGAGCCAUGGCGGUCAGCUCACCGACGCACCAGAUCUCCGAGUUCAAGGAGGCCUUCAGCUUGUUCGACAAGGACGGAGACGAGUAGGGUUCCGAUCCGUUGUGGAUCUCUUCCCCGUAGUUAGAUCUUAUUAGAUCGUAGGAUUUGCUAGGGCUUGUUCUCUGAUUCCGGUUUUGAUUGAUUUUAUUGCUGCGAAUUCGAUCGAUUCGCCUCGAAUUGCUUGAAUCGCUGGUAUGUUGCAAAAUGCGGUAAUGGAUGCUUCGAUUUUUGUUUUUGCUGUCGUUGUGUGUUUUUUUGCUUGUUUCCUCGCUAUGUUUAGGAGUUUUUUACAUGUUUCUCGCAUGAUCCGGUCGACUUGUUAUAAUAAAUGUUCAUUUGUCUCAAUCUUGUUUAAUUAGUUGCUACUUUAAUUUCUAUAAUAUACGCUAUGAUUGUAGUGUGCUGAUGUGAAAUAGGUGAAUUAAUGCGUUAUGAUUUAUGGUGACAGAAAUGUAUUAUAGGAAUUGUGAUAGCUUGGCCUAAUAACAUGUGUUAUGCAUAAAUUGAUGUGUGCCUAAUUCUGAUAAGGACUUGAUGGAAAUAAUUGUAGUAUUGAAUGUAAUUAACGUAAUAUGCAUGAAAGGAUUUUUUUUGAUACAUCGAAAAGAGAUGCUUUUUUUUGUUGGUAACUUGUUCUGAGAUUCCCUCAUUAUAGGCUAUUUUAAAAUUGUGUACCCCAAAAACAGUUUUUUGGAUCAAACACCCCUUUAUUUUUUUUUCCUUCUAUUUUGAAUAAAUCUAGUUAGUUAAGUUGAAGCUUUUAUAAGUUUAAGAGCUUCAUUAGUUUAUUUCUGUUUGAUGUUGUUUCUUUUGCUGAAAAGUGAUUCAAGAAAAAAAAAAAAAAAAAAAACUAAAAUUGAGGGUGCCACAUCACAAUGUCCUGCAGUUACGGGAAGUAACAUACAUUUUUACCUUUCUUUGUAUGUGCUUGAAAGUAAGUUUUCAUGUAUUUAAGCGAUUUAACCAUGGCAGUGUGAGUAUGUUGUACAUCAUGCUUGGAAGGAAUUGAGCAAAUCCAUUAUUAUCUUUGAAGGAUUUAGUGAAAAUACACAUUGCAGAGGAUGGCAUACAAAAACGAGUUUCUGCUGAUAUCCGUUAAAAUGUUUUGACUGUUUGAUGGUGCUAGAAAAUACAUAGAUGGCAAAUAUGCGUAGAAACCCUCUCAACUAUAGUUUUUUGAAGCAUGUUUGUACAUGCGAAUAACAGGUAGCAUUGCAUCUCUCAUAAUCUUUAGCGUGUUAUAUUUUUGUUUCCUCCUUUACAGAUAACAUGAAGACUAAAAGGAAUAAUCCUGAUUUCUAAUGCUUCUUGUACACAAUAGAUGCAUCACAACUAAGGACUGGGGACAGUGAUGCGCUCGUUGGGCCAGAACCCAACCGAGCGGAGCUGCAGGACAUGAUCAACGAGGUGGAAUGCAGAUGGCAACGGACCAUCGACUCCCCUGAGUUCCUUAACCUGAUGCCCGCAAGAUGAAGGACACGGACUCCGAAAGGAGCUCAAGAGGCCUUCAGGGUCUUGACAAGGACCUAGAAGCUUCAUCUCCGCCGCGGAGCUCCGGCCAUGUCAUGACCAACCUAGGCGAGAAGCUCACCGACGAGGAAGUCGACGAGUGAUCCGUGGAGGCUGACGUCGAUGGCAGACGCCAGAUCAACUAUGAAGAUUCUCAGAGGUCAUGAUGGCUAAAUGAGGAAGAUUUCACAGACUGAUCGGUACAAUCGCCGUUCUUUGUUUUUGUUUCCAUUCUCUUCUGGUAGUUAUCUGUGUAGCUGUACUUGUGCAAACAGAAAAAAAGAAUGCCCCCUGUCAUGCUUUUUGCUCAUAAUGUUGCUAAAUCAUGUUUUCCUUCUGGAGUUAUUUGGACUCACUUGGAUAUUUUAUUGGGUUAUUUGAGUUUAUUUGAGUGCCAACAUUGUGAUGAUCUUAUGUGGUGAUAUUUUCGGUUACUGUUACUGUGAUUGGAGAGUCAAAGACCUUGUUAUAGGAUCAGCGACUUAAUUUUUGAUUGUCGAUAUAAUACACGUUGCAUUCCUCUUCAUGAUUACUGCUUAUGGCUUAUACAAGAUGAUGGGUGUGGCUUGCCUCAUGAAUACUGUGUUUUUUCCUAGGAAAAUCCAAUGUUAUUUUUAUAUAUUUUUGAGAAAAUUGCAAAUGCAUGUUUUUUUUAUAUUUUUUUUUCCCAGAAAGGAAUAUAUGUGACUUGGUGUUUCAUUAAGUAUGAAGUUUGGUAAAAGAAGAAGGAGACGGAAGGAGAUGAAGAUCAGGGUCUUCACGCCAUAAUUAUUAGUGUUAAAGACAAUGAUUAAGUGAAUCAUUAAGCACAGUAGUUUUAAGUACCAAGCAGUUUUCGGAUUGGAAGUUUGGAACAGAUUUACAUUAGAUCUCUAUCAAGACAUGGCUCGCGGCAGCUAAAUGAAUGUAGGGAGAGUUUUUUUAAUCUUAGAAUGUUUGCUGAUCCCGGAUCGGCACAGCUAAAUGAAUGUAGGUUUCUUUUAUCUUAGAAUGUUAUGCUGAUCCGGCUCGACACGGUAAAUGAAUGUAGGUUUCUCUUUAUCUUAGAAUAGUUUCUUUAUCUAGAAUGCAUGCCUGAACCUGGGUAUCUCCCUUUGUUUUCAUGUUAGAACGGGAAUAUGGCUUCUUUGAACUAAACUAAUACAGGUGAAAGUACACUUCUUGCCAGGGUGUUCUAGUGAUUGCAACAAAGAUACAAUGUGCUACGGGCACGAACGUACAACUUAUUUUAUUGUACUAAUAAAAUAUCAUCAUAAGAUCUAACAACACCAGAAUGAGAUCUAGUUUUUUCACAAGUUUUUUUUUUAAAAAAAGAUUAUAAGAAAAUCGAUGAUUAAUUUGUACUCGACAAAGAACGCGAUCAAUCUCAUAGAAAUUUGAACGAAGAAAUGAGAGGAAUAUAAUUCACGAUGGAAAAAAUUCAAGAAACGAUUUUGAGAUUAUUUUUUGGAUAUACAUAUUUUUCUCUGAUACCAAAAUGAUACAUGACAAUUGAAAAAAAUUCUAAUCUAUCUUGUUAGUAAUGAACGAGAUUUAUAUAAAAUUGAAAUUAAUUUUUUUUUAAAAAUUUUAGAAAUAACUUUAAAAGAUUUAAGAUAAGAAUUAAACAAAGAAUUAGAGAAAAAUAAAAGAGAAGGAAGAGAUAAGAAAAGAAAAGAAUAAACUUUGAGAAAGGUAGAUGUUUGCCAGCACAUUCAGCAAAAUAUAUAUAUAUAUAUAUAUAUAUAUAUAUAUAUAAUUAUAUGAGUAGGCUAGAAUACUUUUACAAGUAUCACCCAAGUGAUACUUGUGUGUUUUAGCCUUGGAUGGAGAGAUUGAGGUUGAGAUAUGGUGGUAGUGUGUAGGUGGUGGUAGUGAAUAGUGUUUGAUCCAAGGGCUAUUUGUAAUCAAAAAGUAGAUCCAAUGCUAAAAACUGAUAGCAACAUGGGAAUGAUACUUGUAAAAGUAUCAUCCUAGAUCAACUCAUAUAUCAUUAUAUAUAUAAUUAUAUUUCAUUAUAUUUUGUCUCUAUAAAUAAACAGUAGGCUACAUUUAGAUCAAUCAAAAUAUAAUCCUAAUUUAAAAUAAAGUUUCAGCAUUUUAAGUAUCUUUCUAAGAGUUCGGCUAUGAUACUUUUAAAGAACAACACAUUAGGUGGCAUGUAAGUAUUAUACUGUUAGAUCUACUUCUUUGACAUUUUUAUCGUUUAGAUUAUAUUUUCAUCAAUCACCCAUCUUAAUUAUACGGGGCACUAUUAUUUUAAUACUCACAUACCUUAAUCUAAGGUCUCGAAAAUCAAUGUAAGCACUAAUAACUUGAUAUUUUUAGAAACAAUAAAAGCUCAAUUUAUCUUUUUAAUCCAAUAUAACCUAAAAAAAUUAAAUCAUAAUUCCUAAUUUUAGAAUUUAUUUAUUAGAAAUUCUAAAAUUUUUAAAGAAAACUUCAAAAAACCCCCUGUAUUUUCGUGCGUCUCCACUUUGCUACCCUGUGGUUUAAAACGUAUCAAUUUACCCCCUGUGGUUUCAUUUUUAUCUUUUCGGAAGCUUUUUCGUUAAUAUUUCGUUAAAUUAUAUACAAAAAACUUCAGAUAACCCUUAUAUUUAUCGAUAAAGAUAAAAACGAAACACAGGGGGGCAAAUUGAUACGUUUUAAACCAAGGGUAGCUAAAGUGAGAAUGCACGAAACCAUAGGGGGGGUUUUUGAAGUUUUCCCUUUUUUAAAAGAUAACUCAAAUAAUUUCAAAAAUUAAAAAUAAAUUUAGAAUUAAAAGGAGUCAAUCCUAUCUUCCAAUCAGCGUGAAAAAAAUGUAUGGUUUCUCCUCCUUCAUUUUGGUUGCUUGAAAAUUGAUUUUUCGACCAACUCCGACAAACUCAAGUAAGUGUGUUUGGCCUAACUUUUGCAAAAUAAUUUUGAUCAAGUAAUUUUUUACACAUAGUGUGUUGAUAAUUUCGUUUCGAAUUUAAUUCUAAUUUUUAGUCUAAUUUUAAAGCCUAAAAAUCAGAAGCAGUUAAAACUUCAUUCUUAAAAUUUGAUUCUGAUGACUCAAAUUUUAAAAUUUUAUUUUUAUUUUAGAUUCAAAUUUUAAAUUUUAUAUUUGAAUUUUUAAUUUUAAAUCUCAAUUUCAAAUUAAAAUUUUAGAUUUAAUAUUAAAUUCAAUUUUAAAAUUUCUCUAAUCUCAAAUUUUAAAAUUAAAAUUCAAAAAUUAAGAUAAAAUUUUAAAAUAUGAAGCUUUAAAAUUUUAAAUUUAAAUUCAAAAUUUUAAAAUUUAAUUUAAAUAUACAUUUUCAAAUCACAAAUUCAAAUUUUAAAUAAAAAAUAAAAAUUUAAUUUUAAAUUUUAAGUUUUAAAUCUUAAGUUUUAAAUCUAAAUUCAAAUUUUGAAUUUUAAAUAUCAACUUUUAAAUUUUAAUUAAAUAUCAAAUUUUAAAAUUUUGUGCACAUUUUAAAAUUAAAAUUAAAAUUAAAUAAAAUUCAAAAAUUUAAAUUGAAUUCAAAAUUUUAAUUUUAAUUUAAUUCAAAUUUUGAAUAUUUUAAAAUAAAAUUUAGUAAAAAAAUUAUUAUUUGCAAACGGUAAAAUUUUUUGUCGAACAACUCUGCAAAAUUACUUCAGAAAAAAUACUUUUCACGUAAAAUUCAGCCAAAAGCUUUAACAAUUUUUUACAAAAAAUUAAUUGAACAAAAAAUUAUGUAAGGGCCCGGACGAUCCGCAACCCGCUCAGGUUAAAGAUCUGAGGGAAGUAGGAUGAAGGGAAAUAGAGAGGUUGAGAGAUGAGGCAGAGAGAGGUUGGAAGGAGGACAUAAGAGUUAGGAGAAUUAGGGAGAAAGAAAACUUGUAUUAAUUCUGUGAAUCCUGUUUACAUUACAUUCGGUAAUUAUACUACUUGCUAUCUUGAACUGAAAUGAAAAUUAUCUAGUCUAUGAGGGCUAAACAGCAAAAGUGAUGAAUCUCGGGAUGGUCUGGUGGGCUGCCAUUCGGUAGACGGGCCCCGUUGGCUUGACCGGUCCAGGAGUAUUGUAACCGGGAGCGGAUAUCAGUUCGUCCUCCGCCAAACGCGGCUGUGCGGUCCGCGUUUUACGUCCUAUCUGCGAAUCUGCCGCCCCGCUCCGCAAGAGCUUGAGUACUUCCGCCCUUCCCCAUCUCUAGAUUCGGACGGUCUCGUCCUCUGCUCAACCUUCCCUUCCCUUCCUUCCCUUUUUCCUAUCGAGGGAUGCCCUAGUCGCCUUCUCGGACCUUUCCUCCUCGAUGGCUAGCCGGAGUUCCUCGAACACCUCCCCGCCUGACCAACUCGCCGAAUCAUCCUCUCCACCCUGCUGGCUCGCGUGCUGCUACUUAUAUCUUCACUACCUAGUAAGUUUCUUCUUCUUCUCUUCUUACUUCUUCUGUUCUUCUUCUCUCUUUUUUUUUUUUUUUUUUUUUUUUUUUUUUUUUUUUUUUGAGAGAGAGAGAGAGAGAGAGAGAUAGAUAGAACUUUUUGCAUAAAAAAUCUACUUAUUUUGGGCUUUUUGCAAAAUCGGAUCACCUUUUUCGUUUUUGCAGAUUCGGUCAGCUUUUCAGCAAACUUACCAAAUAUCCUUAUACUUUUUCUCUUCCUCUUUUUCUCUCCUCUUCGUUCUCUCUUUUUUUUUUCCGCCGAAAAAAAAAGCGAAGGCCAGGCGAGUAAUAUUUUCUUCUCUUUAUUCUUUUUCUUCUUCUCCUGCUCUGAGCACCUUUUUUUUUCCUUCUUCAUCUUCUUCUUACUCUUUCUUCUCUUCUCCUGUAAAGAGCACGGGGCCCCACGCGACUUCCGGCGUCGCCAAGCGGUGUCCACCGGCGGCGUUUCGGCAGGGAGGGGUCGGCACCGGUGACGCGAGCGCGCGGUGAGGGUGGGGGCGCGCGGAGUGCGGCGGCGAGGUUGACGAGGUGGAGCGGGGUGUCGCAGCCGGGGACGUCGCACCGGUCGAGGGCGGCGGUCACGCGCGCGCUGUUGCGAUCUCCGACGGCUGCUUCUUCUUCUUCGUAAUGGUGUAAUGGUGACCGGUGCAUGUAGCGGCGGCGGGCGGGCACGCGGGAGCGCCGCGGCUGCUUCUUCUUCGUCGUAAUGGUGUAAUGGUGCACCAUUACACCAUUAAUGGUGAAAUUACACCAUUAACGGUGCACGCGGCCCGCGGAGCGGAGCCGCUUGUGGAGCUCCGCCGGGCACAACCGGCCGAGGGCCUCCUCGAAGCGCGCCAGCAGCGUGGCGUGUCACCGGCGCUGCCGCGCGGAGCGGGCAGCAAAGUCGUGGCCGAGCCCCCCGACCGACUCAUGGGCCAGCACCUCUCUCUGCGGGGCCCAUGACUGCACCACUAUGCCCCUCUCCCUGGUCCGGUAUGGAAACCCCUCCGGUAGCAGCUUCUCCAGGUCUGGCUCGGGCGGCGGCAAGAAGCGCUUCUCCGGGUCGUCGUUGUCGUCGCUCGGUGGGCUUCUGACCACCUACAAGAACCUGUGCCCGCUCUUCUCGAUCCCCUUCGCGAGCUCUUUUAGCUGCGCCGCGGAGAAGCGCCCGACGCUCCCGAAGCAGAGGAACACGACGCUCGCCUUGGGCUGGGAGUCGAGCCACGCGAGGCACUCCUCGCCGCGCCCGCGGGCGUCGUCGCUGGAUUUGACGAGCGGGCCGACGCAGUAGACGGGCGGGGUGGGCCGGGGCCGCUCGUGGUCGGGGACGCAAAGCCUCGCGGCGAUCAGGGCGUCCACGGCGCGGGGCUCGAGGGAGCGGGAGGUGUUGACGAUGAUGCUCGCGCAGCGGGCCAGGCGCCGGGAGUGGCCGAGGAAGCCCUCGUAGGCCUCGCCGGCGCGGUCGAGAAUCGGGAGGGGCAUGUGGUCGGCGGGGAGCGGGGGCAUGCCCGGGUCGCGCAGCGGCUCCGCGCCGAGCUCUCUGAAGCAUUUCGCCGAGCGGGCAUGAAGCAUGGGGAGGUGGAGGAACACGGCGAGGGCGGAGGCGCCGGAGGUGAAGAGGAAGUAGGCGGGGAGCGCGAGCUCGGCGGCGACGUCGAGGGCGUCCGUGCAGAAGAAGUCGAGGACGAGGGCGCGGGGCGAGGGGGAGAGGGAGCGAAGUCCUGCGUGAGCGGCGCGUGCUGGGGAGGGCUCUCGCUGCCGCCGGCCACAACCUCGGCCACUGGUUCGAGCGGCUGCCUCGGCCACGACUUCGCUGCCCGCUCCGCGCGGUAGCGCCAGCGCCACGCCGCGCUGCUGGCGCGCUUCGAGGAUGCCCUCGACCGGCUGCGCCCAGCGGAGCUCCACCCGCGGCUCCGCUCCGCGGGCCGCGUGCACCGUUAAUGGUGUAAUUACACCAUUACACCAUUAAUGGUGUAAUGGUGUAAUUUCACCAUUAAUGGUGUAAUGGUGCACCAUUACACCAUUACGACGAAGAAGAAGCAGCCGCAGCGCGCCCGUGUGCCCGCCCACCGCCGCUGCGUGCACCGGCCCGCGUGCACCAUUGCACCAUUACAAAGAAGAAGAAGCAGCCAUCGGAGNUAAAUUUUAAUUUAAAUUCAAAUUUUGAAUUAUUUUAAAAUAAAAUUUAGUAAAAAAAUUAUUAUUUGCAAACGGUAAAAUUUUUGUCGAACAACUCUGCAAAAUUACUUCAGAAAAAUCACUUUUCACGUAAAUUCAGCCAAAAGCUUUACAAUUUUUUAUCAAAAUUAAUCUUGAAACAAAAAUUAUGUAAGGGCCCGGACGAUCCGCAACCCGCUCAGGUAAGAGAUCUGAGGGAAGUAGGAUGAAGGGAAAUAGAGAGGUUGAGAGAUGAGGCAGAGAGGAGGUUGGAAGGAGGAAUAAGAGGUUAGGAGAAUUAGGGAGAAAGAAAACUUGUAUUAAUUCUGUGAAUCCUGUUUACAUUACAUUCUGGUAAUUAUACUACUUGCUAUCUUGAACUGAAAUGAAAAUUAUCUAGUCUAUGAGGGCUAAACAGCAAAAGUGAUGAAUCUCGGGAUGGUCUGGUGGGCUGCCAUUCGGUGGUAGACGGGCCCCGUUGGGCUUGACCGGUCCAGGAGUAUUUGUAACCGGGUGAGCGGAUAUCAGGUCGUCCUCCCCGCCAAACCCGCGGCUGUGCGGUCCGCGUUUUACGUCCUAUCUGCGAAUCUGGCCGCCCGCUCCGCAAGAGCUUGAGUACUUCCGCCCUUUCCCCAUCUCUAGAUUCGGACGGUUCUCGUCCUCUGCUCAACCUUCCCUUCCCUUCCCUUCCCUUUCUUCUCUGAUCGGAGGGAUGCCCUAGUCGCCUUCUCGGACCUUUCCUCCUCGAUGGCUAGCCGGAGUUCCUCGAACACCUCCCCGCCUGACCAACUCGCCGAGAUCACUCCUCUCCACCCUGCUGCUGCUGCUGCUGCUACUUAUAUCUUCACUACCUAGUAAAGUUUCUUCUUCUUCUUCUUCUNACCGCCGCCCUCGACCGGCGCGACAUCCCCGGCUGCGACACCCCGCUCCACCUCGCCGCCCGCCUCCCGUGCGCCCCCACCCUCGCCGCGGCGCUUGCGGUCGCCGGUGCCGACCCCUCCCUACAGAACGCCGCCGGGUGGACGCCACUUGGCGAGGCCGGAAGUCGCCGUGGCGCGCCCCGUGCUCUUACAGGAAGAAGAAGAAGAAGAUUUUUCGGCGAAAAAAAAAAAAAAACGAGAGAACGAAAAGGAGAGAGAAAGAGGAAAGAGAAAAAGUAAUAAGGGUAUUUUGGUCAGUUUGCUGAAAAACGAACCGAAUUUGCAAAAACGAAAAAGGUGGCCCGAUUUUGCAAAAGCCCAAAAUAAAUAGAUUUUUUAUGCAAAAAGGCCUAGAUAGUACGCUAUUCGUUUCGUUUAUUUCAUGUAGAAAUAAACUAAGCUGAAAAUGUGAAUCAACUAGAAUUCGAACUUAAAAUUUCGGGUAUCAACCACCAAGUACUCUGCCAUUUUGCCACUUGUUUUAGGGACGGUCGGUUUGCUAUUUUUCUUUAACUCCUCUCUUAUUACCUCUACUCUUUUAUUCUGCAGGCCUAACAAAUAAAUUCUAUAUAACUCACUUUUUCAGAAUCUACGCGGCCUAAUUGCUUACUUCCGUCUUGCUGGGUUUUGCGCCGCGGCCAUCAUGAAUCUUCACAGCGUAGUCCACUCACUGCAAGAACAGACGAGACUCACAAGUGCACAUGCAUUUUAAGAUUUGACGUAGUACGAGAACUGGGAACUUACCCUGGCAUAGGGGAUUGAAUAUCUUAGGCACCACUCCAUCAUCAUCGGGCAAUCCUUGAUUAGUACAUUCUGCGGAACGGAUCCGAGCCUUUCGUCAGGCGAAAUGCGCAACUGCUGACACCGGAGUGCGAUCAAGAUGCUCAGCGAUCGAAUGUUCUGCAGCCCGGUCACCCUAGUGAGCUUUGGACAGUUCACAAUCUGCAGUUCCUGGAAAGCCUGCAGGUUUCCGCUCAGCGGCGGCAGAGAAGUUAGCUUGUCGCAGCUUCUGACCACGAAAGAGUCGAGCGCAGAAGGAAGCCACUCAUCUGGCAAGGAAAGCAGCUCCGGGCAAUCCUGUAUGAGCAAGUGCUGCAGCGAAUUGAGACUGUUGAGCCCGGCGAUCGAAACAACUUCUCUGCAAUUUGACAGUUCCAGCCUCUCCAGCAUCGGGACGUUCGGAUCGUUAGGGAAGAAACCAAUGAACCCGCGGUAGAAUUGGUAGGAUUGAGAUGCGGACGGCGACUGCUCGGAGUUCUUUAUGCAUAGAUAUUCGACGGAGGGGAGGUUGUGGGCCGCGAGGGCAGACGGCAUCUCUUUGUCGUCGGACAGAGUUAGUCCUCGGAGUGCGGAUAUUUUCUGAUUGCACCAGAAACCAAGUCAGAUAGUCGAAUGCUAAGGAAUUCAGUAUUGUUUAUGAUUCUUGAUUGGUUUUUGCUCCCAUCGUGUCGUUUCAUUAGCUUGCGAACUCUAUCAGCUUUUUGAAAAGGACGUGACAAGGAAAAAUUUCUACUACAUUAAUUAUUUUCCUCGCGCGUGUGUUUGAAGUAAACCCAUGAAUGUAUAUAGCUUGUAAACAAUCUGACAAUAGAGAAGCUCUGUAAGAUUCAUCUCUAAGUAAAAAAGAAACUCGAGGAAAAGCCAAUACGUGAAACAAAAACAUUACGAAACCAGUCCUACGGUAAAAGAAGACAGAAAAGGAGAGGAGUGUUACCUGAACGUAGUCGCAUUUAUUUUUGUGACACCAUUUUACGAGCCUGGGACAAUCAACAACUUCCACGGGAGUAGGCACGGAGCAGAGCUUUUCGUCACACGACAGAUGGAGCUGAGGACAGCACGCUAAACGCAAGCUCGUGACGGAAGUGAGCGUGUGCAGGCCGCUUACUGAAGCGAGCCUCCAGCAGCGAGCGAUGUGCACAUAUUGGAGCUUAGAGUGCAGGGACAGCUCAAGCUCAUGAAUCCCGCAAUCACUUAUCUCCAGUUUCUCGAUCUUGCGGAGAUUGUCCAGCCCCAGCAAUGAUGUUAGCUGCUGACAACCCUUGAUACUCAAUAUCUGAAGAGCAGGAUGGCUUCCUUGCUCUUGACACAAAGAAAGAGACUUCAGGCUCUCGCAUUCGUAGAUAUAGAAAGAACAAAGGGCGGGGAACGACAGGAGUUUCCAUAGCUUUGGGCAGUACUUUAUCGAGAGCUGCUUAAGUCGAGGGAAGUCUCCGCUAAGCACUCCAACCCACUCCUCCCACUUCGGCAUAUGUUUGAAUUCGAGCUUCUCGAGCGAUGGAAAUGCAACGCUAUUUCCGCAAAACUCAUCACCGAGUUUCUCUACACCUACGCCAGUCACAGAGAGAGAUGUAAGAGACGGAAGCCGACCCAACGGUGGAAGGAAAUUGGUCUCUCUGCUGUAGCAAUGAGUUAGGAAGAGGGUGGUGAGCUGUGACAGCGCAAAAGGAUCGCCCAUCCAGCAAGGGAAUUUAGUACCAGUGUAUCCAUCUAUAGUCAAUUUGGAAAUGUUUCUAUGAGGCCGGAGCUUAUCGAGUACUUCUUCUAUGUUGCUGUUAUUCGCUUCUUCGAAGUCGUUCGAACUCACUUCCAAAUGAAGUUGCCCUUCCUCUUUAUCAUUCCCAUUCUUGUCAACUUCUUGAUGCUCAGUAACAGGCCUUGUCCACUUCAAUUUCAAGUUCCUCAAAUUUCUUUUGCUUUCAAGAUUGAUCCUCUUUACGUGCUCUAGAUCAACCACAUUUUCAAGCCCUGAGAUGCAUAAUGUUCCUCCGAGUUUCACCAAGUUCUUCAACUCACCCAAUCCUCCGUGUCUAUCAUCGCUUUUACCUUUGAGAGACGCCUCCAAUUUUCGGAGAUUAGUCAACAUUCCAAGCCCAUGUGGUAUGGGGCGAAUCUUAGUGUGAGAGAUGUCAAGAGAGCACAGGCUGGUAAGCUGUUUUAUGCAGCCGGGCAGUUCUUUAAGUCUGUAACAAGAGUUCAGAUCAAGAAACCGCAAGCUGGAAAGCAGAAAUACUGUUUCGGGCAACUUCUCAAUUUUCGUGCUGUGAAGUCGAAUGUACCGGAGGUUGAUAAGGUUCCCGAUUGCUUCAGGUAAUUCCACCAGAGAAGAACAAUGCUGCAGAUCGAGCGUUUGCAAGUUGUAAAGAAGGCAUACUAAUUCAGGUAGCUUCUGCAGUUUACGCCCGAUGACAGAAAGGUAGCGCAAGUGUUUUAGGCCGCCAAUUGAAUCUGGUAACUCGCUCAAUGCAUGCAGAUUCAAUUCAAGCACCCGUAAGUACGCCAACUUUGAAAAUAUAAUUUGAGAAUCAGUCAGAUCAGUGUCUAAGCUAUAGUUUAGUAGCGAGCGCACGGCUCUAGGGGGGUUCUCAGCGGAGAGAAAAUUGAGUGACAUUUGAUUCUCGCUGCCGUAUAGAUGCUGAACUAUGUUCGAGAUGUAGAAGAGCAUCUCAUUCCCGGAAACUGAUUUUGCAAGAUCGUGGAGCAUGUCAUGCACUCUGUACGUGUCUCUGCCGUACUUGCGGAAGGAAUCUAACAAAAAUCUCCCUUGCAGCUCGUCGAAAUACUCUCCGCCUAUUUCUUCCAAACUCUUGUUCGCCUUUGGGUGGAUGUAAUUGUGUGCGAUCCACAUUCGAACGAUCGUGUCUUUCUGGAACUCGUGGCCUUUAGGGAACGCGGAAAAGUACAAGAAGCACGGCUUAAGAUGUUUUGGCAAGUGGCUGUAGCUCAAUUUCAGAGCUGGCAGGAUGCUGCUUCUUCCCUCAUCCAACUCCCACAAGUCGCUUUCGAGUGUAUCUAUCCAUUUUUCUUCAUCAACUUCGUACCGAAGAAGGCCUCCUAAUGUCUUCAGGACUAGAGGCAAUCCACCGCACUUCUUGACAAUCUUGCGGCCGAUCUCAAGCAAGUUCGGAUGCGCGUUCGGGUCGUGUCUGCCAAAAGCAUGCUGCUGGAACAACCUAAUGGACUUGUCUUUGGGCAGGUAGUCGAGAUGGUACGGCGGCAUAGUCUGAAUGUUCUUAGUAACUGAACUGUUUCUGCUGGUGAUCAAAAUUCUCACAUAUUCUGCGCCGAUGAGGGGAACUCGGAAACAUUCCCACAGAUUUCGAUUCGCAUUCCACAUGUCGUCCAGCACAAGUAACACGCACUUCUCUUCAGUUUCCUUUCUGAGUGCUUCCUGCAGCGCACUGAGUUCGGUAAGAGCACAAGGUUGGUUAGUCAUAGACUCGAUGAUUGCUUUUGUCACCCGCAGAAUGUCGACAUUCUCGGAUACCGACACCCAGGCCCUUCGAUUAAAAUGUGGGCGCACUCUCGGAUCGUUGUAGACUAGCUGAGCCAGAGUGGUCUUCCCCAGCCCACCCAUGCCGACGAUCGGAAUGACGGCGAAAUUGGAAACACUUGCAGAGAUCAGCAGUCCUACUACCUGUAAGAAAGAUUGCUUACAUAGUGAACCCAAGAACAUCGACUGAAUAAAGAUGAAAGUUAAUUUAUAAAUGAUACUAUAAUAAUUAGUACUUGGUGAUAAAAGAUUGGGUGAGACAAGUCUGACAAAGAUAUUAAUCUAUAAUAAUUAAGUUAGCUUUUCUUAAUUUUGACUUUUGCCUCGUAUAACAACUUAUAUUAUCUUCCGAGAGGGUUUUAUGCAAUUAAUAUGUACUAAAUUUAAAAAGGGAUGAAAUGUACAAACAUCUUAAAUAUUCGCACUUUUGCAUGUAGUAAUCGUUUAAACUUGUAAUGUUUUUGCAUCCAGCUUCCCCAAACUUCAUCAAUUAUCUCAUCCAGCAAAGUUACUAACUAUGGGAUGAUUGAGUUAUAUGAUCGAACCAUCUGGCCCAGGUGUUGAGUCUGUCAGAAUGGGAUGGGUUUGCAUGAGCUGCGAGUUAUGUCUGGCAUGCGUAGGGUCACAUUAGCUGGGCCGAAAUUGGCUAGGGGCCGGCCCGGCAUGACCCGCCUUUAAAUUCGGGCCGUGCGAUGCUAGGCUCGAGCAACCUAGACUCUGGGCCAGUACGACCCUUUGGCCCGGAAGGCGAGGGCCGUCCCCCGUGAUGGGCUUUUGGUUCAUUUGACCAAAAACACCCCUCUCAAGAUCUGCCUAGCAGACCUUGGGAGGAAAGCUCCUGGGGAGAAGGGCCCAAGGCAAAUUGCUUAGGCCUUGGGGUCCAGGACUGUUGGCCCGGCUGGCAUGGUCCAAGCGGGCCGUGCCGUGCCAGACCGCCCACCCUUCCUCGGCCUGGCACGAUCCAGGCUCGUUUUAGGCCGUACCGAGCCGAGCCGAGCCGAGCCGUCGGAACCUAGACGUGAGGCCCAGCGUGGCCCAAAAGUUCGGGUCGGGUCGGCCCGGCAUGGGUCCUAGUUCUACAGUAUCCGUGUCGUGUUGUAGUCCGGCCCGCGGCCUUGCCGGGCUGGGCGACCCACGUGCCGCCGGCCUAUUUUACACCCCUAGGCAUGCGUGAGUUGCGAUUGGAGGAAAGUUAUAUGGUCUCUUUUGUAGGUCAUAAGCGCUGAUUGGAGGAAAGUUAUAUGGUCUCUUUUGUAGGUCAUAAGCGUUAUGUGUGUUUUGCGGUUGGAAAACUAUUCCAAUAGUACGUACAGAUAGAAAGGGCGCAACCAUCAUACUCAACCACAGCACUCACGGACUUCGAUCUGACUCAACCUAUGUGAACGUAACAAUCCCUUUCCAACAUCUGCACCGUUAAUGGAGCACGUGCUGGUAGAAAGGGCACACUCAUUGCACUUAAGGGCUAAACCAAAGUGCUCACGAACAGCAAUCUAACUUAACCCAUCUAGACGUUAUGCCUAUUAUUGGGCCUCUUGCCGUUAGGUUGCUUGUGGACCGUAGCUCCACUCAACUUAUUAGGCUCAUCCGACUCAAUUUAUUAGUCUCAUGAAUCUAUUAUCAUAGGGCAAAAAGUUGAAUUUAUUUUAGCCCAAUAAUAAAUAGCCAACAUCUUUGACAUUGAUUAGUCUCUCAGUUGGGGCUGGAUGAUAUUGAGUGUACCGUUGCAAUAAAGAAAAGACAGGAUUUUACUUGGAUGUAGGAUAUAUUAUGCGGACCAGGCAGCAAUUGUCUUAAAUAGUAUAGUAAAAUAAUAUAUUUCACAUUACACGAUUGCCUAGGACAAAAUAAUGGCUACUAAAAUGCUACAUUUUGCCGAGUGGAGCUAGAAUACUUGUAAAAGUAUUAUGUGAGUGGUACUUUUGAGUUUUUAGUCAUUGGAUGGAGAGAUGUGAGGUUGAGAUGAUGGUGGUAGGUGGUGGUAGGUGAAAUAGUGUUUGAUCCAAGGGCUAUUAGUAAUCAAGGAGUAGAUCUAAUGGCUAAAAACCUAAUAGCAUCAUUGGGGUAAUACUUGUAAAAGUAUUCUAGCUCAAUUCCAUUUUGCCACUCUAUUUUUUCUAAAUUAUGUCCUUAUCAUUCUAUAGUUUGUAAAUUAUAAUAUUUUAUGUGAGAUUUUAGAUAGUCUUAUAUAUAAGAUAUAAUCGACAUAAAAUUUUUUAAUUUGGCUUAAAUAUUUUGGAUAGUAAAUAGGCCCAAAAGAUUACGAGAGUUAAGCAUGUUAGGACAGAAGUAGUCCUAAAAUGGGUGACCCUCGAGAAGUUGGGAUGCCACAGUUGGUAUCAAAGCCAAUUAGCAGCUGAAAGUGUGAGAUGAGUCUUAGCUGAGUCAGAAUUAUACAGCGGGGAGAGCAAGACUCUUACACUGUUGACUGUUGUGGAUGGAGCACAGUUCACCAUAAGGUCAGUUUAGACUAGCGAUACAAGUUUCACAUCGUCUGAUAUUUGUGAGUCUAAACUUGACGAGAAUGUCAGGACUUAAGAGAGAGAGAAUGUAAGACUACUCUUAACUGGUCUUAAAUAUUUUAGAUGGUGAUUUGACCCAAGAAUUUAAGAAAGUUAAGUAUAUUAAGACGGAAGAAAUCUUAUGAUGGAUAAUUUUCUGGGAAGUUGGAGCGUCAUAUUUUAGUAUCUUACAUACCAAUUGAUCUCUAUAGUAAUAUAAAGAGAAAACUAUAGGAUAACAAAAUAAAAUUUUAACUUUAAACUAUAAAAUAAAAAGUGAGAAUCUAUUAAAUCACAGAGAAAGGGUCAAAUUGAAAUAUCUCCUAAUAAUUAACAACCAUGAAUUAUAAGGAUUCUAAUUAAAAUAAAUAAUCUGAAGAUCCAAUACAAGCCAGUCACCUUCAAAGCAUUAGCAAUUAGGUUGUCCACAAUUUCCUACAAUAUUACAUUAGUUAUGAGUGGCCUAAUUAUUGGCAAGAUUUUAUUUCAAUUAUUAAAUUCUGAUUUGUUUUAUUAAAAAUAUUGAACUGCAUUUUUUUAUUUUAAUUGGAUCAAUAAAAUUUUAAUUUUGAUGAAGUACAAUGUAGCAGCUAAUUUAGCUAUCAAAAGACGACAUAAUAACAAGUACUACUCAUUUCAAGUGCUAUGUCAUUUUAAAAAUUUUAUUAUUUAACUAUCUAUUAUUUCCGAGAUGGUGUGACAACUUAAUUAAUUAGCAACCAAAUUAAUUAUCUUCAAGCCAUACAUAUAUCAGCAUUCGAUCAUGUCAUCUAAUAGAUGAUUUGUUGACUGAAUAACCUAUUACUUUAUUAUUAAUUUAUUUAAAAAUUAAAUUUAACUGAUUGUAACAUAAUAAAUUAAAUAAAAUUAGAAAUUAAACUUGUUUAAGUUAAUUAAAAUAAAUUUAAAUUCUGUAACCAAAAUGAGUUAACUUCUUUAACCUAAUAAAACAGCAUCAAUUGUUCAAUUAAAUCUUGCAUCACAGUAGGUUAUCACAUGUUGUAAAAUACUGUUGUAAAAUACUAAGGUUGGUAAUUAUUAUUAUUAUUAUUAUUAUUAUUAUUAUUAUAGGUCAUAAUAGGCCAGAUGAAAUGUAUCAUAACCGUCCGAAGUUUUGCUUAUUUACAAAUAACAUUUAAAUUUUAAAAUUUUCAUUAUUUUUCACUUAAACCUUCAAAAUUUUACAUUUCGAUCACUAUUGAGGAUUAUAUAUACUUUAACAAUUUAAAGUUUCUAAUAUUACUUAAAUGAUCAAAAAAUAAUGGAGGACACAGCCCGACAAUAUACAUACAUAGAAGGAUCUUUAAUUUCAACAUCAAAAUUCAGUCUUACAAUAUAGAGAUUAACUUUUAGCAUUUAAUUUUACAAAUUAUGUAUCAUAUUUAUGAUCAAUUUUAUCUACAAAUGAAAUAUUUGGCAUCAUUGCACGUACACACGUAUUUUUUAUUGUUCAUUAACUAAUUGUAAAAUUUUAAAGGUAAAAUCAUACAGAAUGUUCUUAUACGGUGGGCUAUUUUAAUUCAGCCCUCCAACCUUUUAAAAUUUUAAUUUUACUAUUCAACAUUUCAAAUUAAUCAAUUCGAGCUAGUUAAAGAUGUUUUUCACUUUAAAAUUUAGAUUAAUUACUAAUUUUUAUGAAUUCAUAGUUACAAAAAUUAUAUAAAAUAUAUAUACUCUAUAUAUAUAUAUAUAUAUAUAUAUAUAUAUAUAUAAGAAUAAUAAUUUUGAAAAACUGGAUGACUUUCACAGAUUUUAAAGUUCUAGUGCAUCUAACUCGGUGUAAUUAAUUAAUAUUAGUCGGAGAGAAUAAUAAUUACGCAGAUACGUACGUGCCUUCUCUCUGUCGCCCUCCCUGCCUAGAACGCUCGACUCGUCGAUAAGCGAGCUGCUGCGGCUGCCGCCGGCAGCCGGCGGGUCAGACCCCUGCCGGCCGCCUCUCCCCGUCUUCAUCUCUCAGGCUGAGCGCCAGACGGUGCUUCGUUAUCUCCUCGAUCUUCCUCUUGAUCUCCCUGAAUGACAAAGCGCAGGAGCGGUCGCAGACGAUGGACAACCCCGACGACACGUCUCCGUCGGCGAUCUUCCUCUUCUUCUGGAACGAGCUGGAAUCCGCCAUGCCGUCUACCCGCCUUCCUUCCACCCUCAACUGCAGCAGCCGGUACUGCCACUCGCCGACCGCGUCCUCGACGUCGCACGCGACGCCCUUCAGCUCCCGCAGCCACAGCUCGGCGGAGCUGCUGCGGACGUCGCUCUCCUCGGCGUCGUCGAGGACCGCCUGGAUCCGCUGCUGCAUCGCCCGCAGCAGCUGCUCCAUGUUCUCCUCCUCGGUUCUCUCGGCGGCGUCGCGACGCAGCCACGGGCGGUGGUGCGGUUCCGCCGACGGCCGCCACAGCGCCCGUCGCAGCACGGCCGCCAGCUUGCGCCCCGCCCAUCGGACCGACGAUGCGAGCGCCGCCGCCNUUGCAUUUCCACUUAGGGACUGUUUAGUAUAGGGAUUAGUUUAACUGUCCUUUUUUUUUUUUUGUUCUUCUUGUACUUCUUUCUUUCUUUUCUUUUUAACUCGUUCUACUGCUGCUUCUUCUUCUGAAUAAUUUUUUCUUCUGCUCUUUCUCUCUCUGCUACAAUUACCACCGACUGCUAGUUUUUUUUUUAUUUAUUUUUAUGUUUUAAAUGAUAAUGCAAUCUAGCUAGCUUUUGGGGUGAGUGAAAUUGAGAGUUCUGGAUUCGGUGGUUGCGUGGGCCAGCUACGUAAAACUGCUUCUUGCGCCUUUCUUCGAAACUUCCUUUAUUCUCUCCUCUUCUUUGGCUCUUUUUGAUCUUUCCUUUCGUUUUCUUUUUGUUCGUUUUGAUGUCCGCUUUUACAUUCUUGUCCGCUUUUGAUCUUGAUGUCCGCUUUUACAUUCUUAGUUGAUAUGUGAUGCUUUUGUUUUUCUUUUUGGUUUUCUUCUCUUUUUUUCUUUUCUUUUCUUUUUUGUUUUUCUUCUGUUUUUCUCUUGUAUCUUGAGUUUAUCUUUUUUCUUUUCCUCUUUCUUUCCUCUCGAGAUCCUGGAUGUCUCAAUCUGUAGCUUAGUUCACUCUCUAAUUGAAUGAAGCGGUAGCAUGCUACAUUUUCUUAAAAAAAAAAAAAAAAAAGAAUAAAGAAAAAUUUUAUUUUUAUCUCUACAAAGUUUAAUAUGCGACCAUAAAGAAUAAUUUUAUAUGUAUAGCUGAAAUUGGAAUAAUUUGAUAUGUACUUACGAUAUAGAGUUUUUAUAAAUGUAAAGUUUUUAUCAUAAAAUUUAUAAUUGGCUUCAUAAAAAUCAAGAGCUCAAAUAAAAAUUAUUGAGUUUAAAUAUUUUGGAUCUCUAGUUUGCGUCUAACAAGCUAUUCGCAUAGUGAGCUAGCUAGUUAAUUUAAUUACAUUUGGUAUCAAAAUGAAUUUGUCAGUUGAAAAUGCAAGACGAAUUUUACGUUGUUUGGUGAUCUUGAGUUAGGGAAUAACAAGAGAGUGUGAAAUGGGUCUAGUAUCAUUAAUGACUUAGUACGUAGUAGCAAUGUGAUACUUAGUAGCAAUACGAUACUUCUCAAAUUAUAGGUGACAAAAUAUAUAAAAAAUCCUCUUAAGCCAUAUGUCUGAGCUUUUAAUUACGGCAAUUAAACCCAGUAAAUUUUAAAUAGUUUAAUAGGUCUUUUUUUUUUCAAUUGAAAUUACUAAUAACAUGGUUGCUUAAUUAGUUACAUGUCUUAUAUACAAUCUCAUAAAGCUUCAAAACAUUGAGAAAGUUAUUUUUUUCUAUUCUAGUAUGUAAAGAAAAUAACAAAUAUAUAAUAUUGCUUCACUCUAUUAUUCAAUUCUCAUAAUUAAUUAUCAAAUUUGGAAGGGAAAAAAUAAAUUUUUUUAUAUUUUGAAGUCUAUAAGACUAUGCAUACGACAUGCAAUCGAAAUUGCAAUAUAGUCUUAAAUUAUAUAGAAUCAUAGUGUAAAAAAAAUAAUAAUAACAAUAAUACCAGGCGAAAGCUUAGAUUAGAUUUUUUUUUUAAGAGAAAAAUAGCAUGUUACCCGCUUCGUUUAUUUUGUUUAAAAAUAAAUUUAGCUGGAAAUGUGAAUUAACUAAGAUUUGAACUUGGAUCUCGGAUACCAACUACAAAACCGUUUUGCCACUUACGUUAGGGAAGGUCGGUGUCUUAGAUUAGAUUUACAAUAAUGCUAAAAUCUAGAAAGUCUUCGCCCUUUUUUCCCUGAUUCCCUCUAUUAAUGGGCGGCACAAAGGUGUGUUAGUGUGUUCACAUUCUUCUUUAUUUUGCACCCGACAGGGGCGGACCAGCCAAUGGAAAGUGUCACAACGGACGAUAGUUAAAAAGAAUCUUCAAGAGGAAAAAAAAAGCAAGAAAAUAAAAAAACAGAAAGAAAGAAAAGCUUCACUCUUCUUUGUGGAUGAUUCGAUCCCCUCUCAAAGUGGAAAUUUUUGCAUAAUUAACCCUGAAAAAUAAGGUGCUGUUCGCGCGAUAAAAUUUGCGCCAUGUGGUGAAUUAGGAUGCACCGUGAAAAACAGCUCCCAAGACCGGAAAUAAAUAACACGUGGUGCGUAAAAAAUAGAAAAGAACACACCCAAAAAUUAAAAAGUGGUUAAAAUCGAUGCAAUUAAGAUUAGCCGAGAGUAGUCCGCAGAAUUAGAGAUGUGGCCGAUUGUCACGCCCGGGUACCAGUGGAAGUAUAUCCGGUACGUGCACAGACCCGCUAUACACCUGCAGUAUAUAAGGCAUAUACAAGAAACAAGUCGAUAGGAGUAAAAACAUAAAAUAAUCCUAUCCUGAUAUCAGAGUAUAGUAAAAGUCAUAAAGACUAUCAACAAUAGAAUAAGGAGUAUAUAAUCCACAAACUCGACAAAACGUAAAGUAUCACAACUAUAAUGUCUGUCCAAAGAGUAAAUAUACAUCACGGGGUAUACAAAAAGAAUAGGUACAAUGGUGGUCUCUCUAUACAUAGGGACAUCACCCUCGGCCGUAGCCCGAGUUGCAAAGUGAUCGACUAGCAUGCUCCUAGCAAUAUCUAACUGGACGUGACUCCCUUGCCACGAUCCCUAGCCUCUCCUGUAGAUAGCUCUGUAAAAAUAACCACCAAAAAGGACGUGAGAAUUAUAAACAAUAGUUCUCAGUGGGUAAGUCGCCAGCCUCGGCGAAUUACACCAUUAGGCUCAUGAUGUACUAAAUGAAAGCAAAAACGAUAAUUGCAUGAUAUAUAAGCAUGAUGCUAACAAGUAAUGAGCAUGUAAUCAACAUGUAAUAGCUUUCUACAGUAAUGAAUCAUUUGCAUAAUAGAGAUAUAGCAACUUCUGUAAUCAUGAACAUAAACAUAAAUAUAAGCACGAAUGUGAAAGUAACUACUGUACACUUUAACUAGUAAGCAUUUCUUACUGUCCUUUGUCAUUAGUACUUUUUCCUCAAUAGAGUUUUCCUUUCAUUCAUCAGGACCUACCCAAGGUAGUCCGGCUUGCGCCGCGCCUAAUGGUCCCGUGGUAGUAUGCACUCCCCACGAUAAUCCACUUUGGCACCCAAUCCUGCACGGGCGAGCAACUGUCGCGUAGGCCAACUCCGGAGUGCCGGCUUGUAGGGAGCGACCCUCACAAGUGUGUGCGAAUGAGCACGAUGGCAAGCAAGUAUAUUCCACUGUCCACAUGUCUCAAUUAUUAUGUUUUCAUUUGCAAUGUUUUUACCCUCGAUCCUCUGAUCAGAAUUUCAAUACACAAAUAGUAAUAAGAACUAGUAUCCACUAGAUUGUAAACAUGUAAGAGUAAUGCUAAAUCACAUAGCAUUAUAAUCUUUCCACUCUUAUGGCACUAUCAACAUAGUCGUAAGCAUGUCAUAGUUCUCUACUUUAUAAGUGCAUCAUACACUUGUUCAUAAGUCAUUCUACAGUAUUAAACAUGAUCAUAAAUACUUUUAUGCAUGCAGUCUCUCUACUUCAUGCAUCUCUACUUCAUAGAGGUACAAUGUCAAACAUAUCAAACAUGGUGGCAAAGAUGUCCAAAUUCGUAUCAAUCACAUAGUCGCAAAAAGCGCACUACAAAACCCAUUCUAUAGUGACAUAUAGAAUAUAGGGGAGCUUCACUUACUCUGGUUAGGUCAAAUCCACCUAUCACUAAGCUCAAAACGGCCCAACAGAAGCUCCAAACUCAGCUCACACGGUCUCUGGACCUGCUGAAAACAAAGCAUCAAAACCGCGUCGAAACGAUUACUUAAUAAUCCAAUUUCAGCUCCAAUCACACAUAGUACAAAGUAAUAACUUAAUUCCCUACUUCGGGCUAGCUUAAUACCUCAAGUUGAGUCUUCAAGAGCUUUCACAAGUCAGCUGAAGUCACUCCAAGAGUCGAUCGCACUCUUGCUGCGAACAACAUCAAAACGGCGUUAGAAUGCUAGUAUACUAGCUAAAAUAGCCGAAUUCUUGUAAAAUUAGAUUUCUAGCAGAAAUUCCUGCUUACCCUGGGUUAGAACACCUUCUAAACCAGUCCGCAAUGUCACCAAUUAAGAUCAGUUUAAUUCAAAAACUUGCUGCGAACAGCGAUUCCAAAAUCAGCCACUAUUCGAGUAAUUAAGCCUCGAUUACGGAAAAAGGUUGAGUCGAUUACCUCUUCAAGCCUCUAACCAGUAAACUACUGGUUCAGGGCUGCGAAAAACUUUCCAAAAUACUCUCUCACAUAUCCGUGUAGGUUCAGCGACGCUCGCAACCAGCGGAAAACCAACGUUGCGACGAAAACGAGCGAAAUCGGCGAUUUCUUUGUAGAGAGAGAAAAACCCUAGAGAGAGAGAGAUGAAGGUGGAAGAACCAUCCCCUGAGCUCCAGCAACCCUUACUGAGCUCCUGCAGUCGUGCUGGACAUAAGGGAUAAGAACAGGAAGCAAAAAGACCAAAAGAACCCUGCUGCCACGCACCUGCUGCAGCUGCUGCUUGCUGUACCGGUACAGCAUAAUGCCUAUACUGGUACACAAUGCAAAAUUCGAAGAUAAUGCCACAGCAAUGCACUUUCUUGCUUUUGGCCAUCCAAUCAUUCUCUAACUUGUCCGAAAACUUGUCCAAGUCCUUUAGAACAUGUAGGAUAGUUCCACAACUCAUUCCACACACUCGAACUCCGCAAUUUGUAAAAGUUCAGUGUAUUACACCGAUAGUAGGGAAUAACUAAAUAAAUAACGGGUGGGACUAUAAAUAAACAGAAGACAUCUAUACAGAAGGGUCUUUUUCUCCAAGUAUAAGAAGAUCAAUUUAUUUUCUUGUAUUUUUCGCUUACUAGAUAGGAGUACUCUACUUGUAAUCUUUUUUUCUUCUGCAUUUUUUCUAGGAAUAGUUUUAAACUAGUUUCUCUUCAUAUCAGCCACCUUGUAUAGCGGCACCACCCUUUUUGUAAACAUUUUUCUUCUUUUUGCAAUAUAUAUCAGUAUCAUUCGGCUCUUCAGCCGAACCGAAUCCAUAGUGUAAUAUGUGAACUCGGCUGGUUUGAUAUUUCAUCAGCCUAAUUGUUUGAUUCAUUUGUGGGCGUAAUCUUCGAAGGUGGCAAUCGGAGCUGCUUUACUUCCUCGCACGUUUCCCAAAUAAGGACAUUUGACCGAGUUAACGGUCAAGAAAAUUGGCUCGUAACAAUUUUUGGCAUGUUCGGUGGGAUUUCUAGGUAAAUUACAUAAAAUCCUCCUAUCAAAAUCCGAUUUUUCACUUUCUCUUCCUGUCAUUUAAAAAUCUACACUUUGCCCCCUUGUAAAAUAAAAAAUAUUCACAGAGAGGGUACGGUGUGUAAAAUGACCAUUUUGCCCCUCGCCAUUUUCGUCUCCUCCAUCGUCUUCCUCAACUGCUGCCUCGUUCGACCGCGAUUCACACCUCGAUCGGCCGCAAUUUCUCUCCAUUUUCUUCUCCACCUGCUCCCCUUCUCCUCCUGCACCCUCGCCACCCCUCGAUUUCAGCGACAAUAAGGAGGAAAUCGAGGUGGGCGUUGAUAGGGAGGUAGGCAUGGGCAACGAGGGCGAAGGCGAGACGGCGGAGAAGGGCGAAGGGAUGUGGGCGAGGGUGAGGCAGUGGAGGACGGCGAGGCGGCGAGGCGAAGCAACAGGAAAGAGAGCGGAGGAGUAUUUUUGGCAUAAAAAAUUAUUUUGUAACGGAACCCUAACGGUAGGGAGUGAAGUGUACAUUUUUUAUUUUACAAGGAAGUAAAGUGUAGAUUUUUAAAUGACAGGGGGGAAAGUAAAAAAUCGGGUUUUGAUAGGAGGGUUUUCUGUAAUACACACACACACACACACACACACACACACACACACACACACACACACACAUUAAAUGAGGAUUCAUCAAUGGGUUUGAAACUCAAAUUUAAAACGCGAUUUCAGAACAUCUUUAAAAUUUUUAGUUAGAAUCUCAAGUUUGAAUAAGUUGUACGGGCCUAAUCUUAACACUGUGAACCCAAAGCCCAAAUCUAGGCGUUAUAAAAUAAAUCCAAAUUUUAGCCAUGUAAACUCAAUUCAAAAUCUUAGUUACUCCAUAUGGGCCUAAACUGAGCCUGCAACCACAUCUGUAAUUCAAACUACAUAAGCCUAAAUUCAGCCUAAGCUCAGACCCACAGCUAACCUGAAUCUUAACCUAAGAUAUUCCAGCCCACAUAGAGCCCGAAGCCCGAAUAUAGCUUAAAUCUAACUCAGGCUAAAUUUUAAUCCACACUAUAUGGGUUUGAAUUCAAACCAAACCUAAACUUGAGAAAUAUCGAUCAAGUUCAGCAAAAAAAAAUCUAAAUUUAAACCUAGCCCAAUUUUAUCUCCGAAUGGGCCCAAGUUCAUGUCAAAGACCAAAUAUAAAUCCAACCCGAUUAUUUAAUCCGGAUUGACCCAAGCUGAACCCAGUCCAUAAUUCCAAUCCAAAUUUGGCAGGCCUUAUAUGAACCCUACACCAUAAAAACCAAAUCAAAGCCCAAACCUAACCUCAAACCCAAAACAAAUCAAAAUUCCAGUUUAACCCAAUUCAAAUCAUGCACAACCUAAUCCAACCUCGUCUCCAUACCAAGUCCUUAAAAAUUCUCUAGCAUAUAAAACUAGAGUCAAAUCACAACCAUAUUCAAACUCGAUCAAACUCUAAAUAUAUGUUUAGAAUUGAUCAAACCGUCUUUUUAUCUUAGUACAUGCGACUAAGGUGAAAAUAAUAAAUUAGGUUUUACUAAUCAAAUUAAAUCGAUUGGACUCUAAUACAUAUACUUAGAGUUCAAACAAAAGAAACCAAGUUAGACUCUAAUAUGUAUAAUUAGAGUUUAAUUUAAAUUAAUUUUGACUAAUCCUAAUACAUAUAUUUAGUAUUUAGCCAUCCUUCACCUUAGAGUGAACUCAAAUAUGGUUUGACUCUAAUAUACAUACUUAGAGUUCAAUUAAAUUAAUUAGACUCUAAUAUGUAUAAUUAGAGUUAAUCUAAAUCAAAUCGGCUAAUUCUAAUACAUGUAGAUUUAGCCCUCCUUCACCUUAUGGUGAACUCAAAUCUGAUUGGACUCUGAUACAUACAAUUAGAGUUUAAUCGAUUCAAACCCAACUAAAUCCUAAUACAUGCAACUAGGAUUUAGUUAAAUCUAAUUGGAUUAACCCCUAAAAAUAUAGGUGUAAUUCAAAUUAAGUUCAAUCGACCGUCAUGUCGUUGAACUAAUCAUUUUCUCUUUUAUAUUAUAUUAUAUUCAUGUACAUUGAGGGUAUGUCCCUGGUUAAACUAUGUAAUUGUACAGUGAAUUAUGUUUAAUUUCAGUCUAUUUCGGCAUUACAGAGGUCCCUUAAUCGAAGGUGCCCUAACAUUUUAUAGGGGUAAUUAACAAUAGACGCUUGCGUUUAUUGGAAGCCAUGAAUCCACAAUACUUGAUAACCAUAUAUACUUAAAUAUUAAUCUGAAUCAUGAAUACUACUCCACGGGAAAUCAAAAUAAGAUUAACCGCGCAAGGUGUGUCAUUCAUGGUCGAAGACAUGGUAUCAUUCGUGGAAUCACAGAACAAACGAAUGCACGGCCUUUAAAAGGAAAAUUCAAAAAGAGAUAAAUAAAGGUCAGCUAAUAUUUGCCAACCAAGAAAAUAAAAUAAUAUGAAAAUUGAUCAGAACCCAUUUCCUUCACAGGUCAACAUGUUAUACAUUAAAGGGAAAGCAUUAGUUGAAGGAAAGAUCAAGCAGGACAUUGCCAGUACCAAAAGAGCACUUCAGCUAUGCAUACGAUGUAAGGCCGAAAUUACACAUCGCGACUGGGAAGUGAUCAUUCAGGAGAGAAAACUAUACCGGGAAUGGAAGGAGUUCAUGACUUUCCCUGUUCUGACAAGGUACUGGAAGGAGGGCCGUGGCUUAUAUUGAGAAACAAGGAGAAAAUUCGAUGACUGUCCGGAGGAUGCUUCAAACGAUUCCGAGGAAGAGGUAGAGUCUAAAAAAGGCAAGAAGGAUCUUUCGAUCCAAAAAAUCUUAAAUGAUUAUUACCAUCAAACAAGAGAAAGAAUAAGUCGAAGGGGUUAUUUAGAAAAUCCUUUCGGUAUCCAGUAGAGUCAUCUGGGAUAUCGGCCUUCUUGGCAUUAUUAGCCUAAGCCGAAACCCAAACUAGAGUUUGAAAGAAUGACCGAGAGUGAUAUAGAAUUCUUCGGUCAAAAAUUGGUCAAUGAACUCGGCAUCCAGCGAUGGCCAACGCCCUGUAAGAUAAGAGAAAUCCUAAGGGAGCACCUCAGGAUAGUUAAAGUAUUAGCCAAUAUGUCAGUUAAUCAAUGGCACAUGGCAAUAACACCAGCCAAAUGGCAUGAGCAGAUGCUAAUGAAAACACAGAAGCGACGANUUGGCUAAUUCUAAUACAUGUAGAUUUAGCCCUCCUUCACCUUAUGGUGAACUCAAAUCUGAUUGGACCCUGAUACAUACAAUUAGAGUUUAAUCGAUUCGAACCCAACUAAAUCCUAAUACAUGCAACUAGGAUUUAGUUAAAUCUAAUUGGAUUAACCCCUAAAAAUAUAGGUGUAAUUCAAAUUAAGUUCAAUCAACCGUCGUGUCGUUGAACUAAUCAUUUUCUCUUUUAUAUUAUAUUAUAUUCAUGUACACUGAGGGUAUGUCCCUGGUUAAACUAUGUAAUUGUACAGUGAAUUAUGUUUAAUUUCAGUCUAUUUCGGCAUUACAGAGGUCUCUUAAUCGAAGGUGCCCUAACAUUUUAUAGGGGUAAUUAACAAUAGACGCUUGCGUUUAUUGGAAGCCAUGAAUCCACAAUACUUGAUAACCAUAUAUACUUAAAUAUUAAUCUGAAUCAUGAAUACUACUCCACGGGAAAUCAAAAUAAGAUUAACCGCGCGAGGUGUGUCAUUCGUGGCAGAAGACAUGGUAUCAUUCGUGGAAUCACAGAACAAACGAAUGCACGGCCUUUAAAAGGCAAAUUCAAAAAGAGAUAAAUGAAGGUCGGCUAAUACUUGCAAACCAAGAAAAUAAAAUAAUAUGAAAAUUGAUCAGAACCCAUUUCCUUCACAGAUCAACAUGCUAUACAUUAAAGGGAAGGCAUCAGUUGAAGGAAAGAUCAAGCAGGACAUUGCCAGUACCAAAAGAGCACUUCAGCUAUGCAUACGAUGUAAGGCCGAAAUUACACAUCGCGACUGGGAAGUGAUCAUUCAGGAGAGAAAACUAUACCGGGAAUGGAAGGAGUUCAUGACUUUCCCCGAAGAUGAGAAGAAUUGAUUGAGAAAUAAGGAGAAAAUUCGAUGACUGUCCGGAGGAUGCUUCAAACGAUUCCGAGGAAGUGGUAGAGUCUAAAAAAGGCAAGAAGGAUCUUUUGAUCCAAAAAAUCUUAAAUGAUUAUUACCAUCAAACAAGAGAAAGAAUAAGUCAAAGGGGUUAUUUAGAAAAUCCUUUCGGUAUCCAGUACAGUCAUCUGGGAUAUCGGCCUUCUUGACAUUACCGGCCUAAGCCGAGACCCAAACUAGAGUUUGAAAGAAUGACCGAGAGUGAUAUAGAAUUCUUCGGUCAAAAAUUGGUCAAUGAACUCGACAUCCAGCCAUGGCCAACACCCUGUAAGAUAAGAGAAAUCCUAAGGGAGCACCUCAGGAUAGUUAAAGUAUUAGCCAAUAUGUCAGUUGAUCAAUGGCACAUGGCAAUAACACCAGCCAAAUGGCAUGAGCCGAUGCUAACGAAAACAUAGAAGUGACGACAGCAAAGAAUGCAAGCAGAAGCAAGAAAUCACUGGGAGCAAACAAAAAGAAUGAGGUCGAAUGUAUGGAAGCGGCUUGAACCACAACUGCCCUAUCGAUCUAUUAAAAAUGACCAUAAUGAGAGACUCAAAUUUCGUACUAUGGUUGAUAUCUAAAAUUGAGCAGUCAGCUCCAGUAGUGCCGACAAAAAAAAGUUACAUGAAGAGCGUUGGAGGAGAAAAUUGCCUCUCUAGAAACGAUUUAAGUAAGAUAGAUGGCUUCCUAAGGAGAAGGAAGUUCGGCCAGAAAGUGACUCUUUGGCCGAAGUAGCUAGGGAAUCGGAGGAAAGUAAACAAAAGGUUCAUGAGAUAUCAGCCGAAGAAAGCUCAGUUGACGUGAGUAUCUCUUUGGCCGAAGUAGCUAGGGAAUCGGAGGAAAGUAAACAAAAGGUUCAUGAGAUAUCAGCCGAAGAAAGCUCAGUUGACGUGAGUAUAGUAUAUGCUGUGCCACACUCAUUUAGAGUAGAGUCUACGGAGUUCAAGGAACAACUUCAUUAUGGAGAGGAAUCAACAGUAGCUCAGCUCCAACUCAAAAAUACCAUAGCGGCCGAUGCAGUGAUAUUCGAAAAGCCAUCGGCUCUACAGACUAGAUUUGUUAGAUAUUUAUUUAGUAAGGCAUUAAUAGAAGAACGACUUGUAGCCCGAGUCAUGAUAGAUGGUGAGGCCAUGGUCAAUGCCAUGCCUACAUCAUUUUUUAAGAAAUUAGACAAGAGUGAUGAAUAAGAGCUGAAACCUACUAAUACAACUAUGACCGACUUUACUGGAAACGGUCAAUAAGUCAGAGGUGUACUCACAACCGAGCUUACGGUUGGGUCUAAAACCCUCCAAAGAGCUUUUUUCUGUAGUGGAUGUGGAUAGCCAUUACAAUCAGUUACUCAAACAUGAUUGGAUCCACGCGAAAGAGUGUGUACCGUCUACCUUGCAUGGAAAGCUAUUUCAGUGGGUUGGAGAUUGUGUCGAGGAGAUCAAGGCCGAUAGAAGGCCACAGAUGGUGGAUGUUAAUAUGGAAGACGUCGGCCAUAUCAACUGGGUCGACACUGACCUGGAUCAAAUUUUAUUUGUUCGGAUUACUGAAGAAAGGGUACAACUGGUGCUCGUAAAGGCAUUGGUGGCUACCGGAGAGUCACCGGACUGGUUAAAAGAAUGUCAAGGAUUGGGAGCCGAGGUUCUAGAUGACCUUCGGCAUAACGAGCCGAUUGAAGAAGUCGGGUACUCCAUUAAAUCGGCCGACUUAGCCAAUGAAAAAUCAAGUGUUAAAAUUCCAAUUUUAGUAGUCGAUUUAAGAAAAAAUGAUUCGGCUCAAAAAAUGGAGACUGUAAUAGUGCAUUGUGAUAUCCCUGGAGUUCUGUGGUGAAGGCUUGUCGACAAUUCUGGAGAGUGUCGGGACAAGUCCGAGUCGAGUUGGCGCGAAAUGGAAGCCAAACGGAUUCAGCGGGGACGCGAGAGCAGGACUUAGCAUUUGAAAUCUACAAAUAGCAGAUUUUCUGCUUGUUGUACCGGUACAAUCAUCAAGGCGUACCGGUACACUUUCUGUACCGGUACAACCAGCGAUGUGUACCGGUUCACUUUGCCAGAGUUGGCGCAACUGCUCUCGGGUUGCCAUCGUACCGGUACAGCAUCCCGUGUACCGGUACACCAGGGUAGGUAAGGGGCAUUUUGGGAAUUUUCUUAUUUUGAGCAUGCCACCGCCUCUCCCUCAGUCUAUAUACGUGGGUAGAGCUGAGGGAGAGGGUUUUUACUGACCCUCUCUUCCCUCUCUCUCUCUAGCUUGCGACGAUGUGUGGCGAGCUCUCGGGUUGAGUUGGUCGUCGUCGACGUCGCACCGCGGUGCCGUUCGAGCGGGUUUUCGCCAUCGUAGCGCUGCGCGGAGGCCGGGCGAGGGUGCGAUUCCGCCGUUUUCGACUUCGUGCCGAUGUUGGAUUAGCGUUUGAGGUAGGUUAAUCGUCGGUUUAUCUUCUAAGUAUAUAUAUUGUCGACUUGUGUUGUUAUGUUGUUUCGUUGAUAGAAAUUGCUCAAUUCUUAGAUUUUGGUAUGUUUAUCUAUAGAAUCUGAAUUGGAGCUGAAUAAUGUGAUUAUAUAUUGACACAAGUUGAACUUGGAUUUGACUUAGGAGAAAACCAGCGUUUUGAACCUGCCAUAUGCCUAAACUACCAGAUUUACCUCUAGGAGCCGUUGUUACUUUGAAUCGUCGCAGUUUCAGGGCGAUGGAUACCUCAGGUAGUUUAGAGUGCAGUUACGCUCGUGCUGAGAUGCCGAGCUUAUUUUUACAGUAGUGUUCAGACUGUUCCAGACUGUUGGGUGCCGUUGGAUCUGACGGUGGAACUGGAUUAGUGUUAUAGCAUGAGAUUGUGCCGAGGGCACGUGUGUUUUGGUUGUUAGACCAGUUCGACCCGGUUACUUGACUUUAGCCUGUGAGAGCCUGCUUGAGCUCGACAGAGACACGCAUGCAUACUCGGUUGGGUCGCGCCCACGAGUGCCACUCCGGAGUUAAGCCUAGUGCUUUUGCGUUGAUGUCGAGGUGUCCUGUUUGGACUUGCUAUCCACGGACUGGUUAGUGUGGAGAUAGCUUCAGCUUCGACAGGCGGGACGGGUGUGUUCACAGUCCCUCGGACGGGUAUGCUUACAGUCCCUAGCGAGAUUUGGGUCAGGAUUGAUAGUUUCUACAGAUGGUUGGUAUUAGAGCAUGAUAGCAUGUUAGUUCUUAGCUGUAGAUUUAUUCCACCCUUAUUUUCUAUCUUAACUCCCUUCUGUAAACUUAGUGGGUGGACCGAUGAUUGUGAGGGCGGCACCCACUGAGGACUACUUGUUUUUAUAGUAGUUCUCACGCCUAGUUGCUACCCUUCUUUUGCAGGGCCUUCAAUUCCGACUGCUGCUACUGUUGAGACCGAUCGUGGCAAGGGCGUUGUGAGAAGAACCCUACCAGACGAGUCGCCGAGAUAAAGGAUUUCCGGCUAUAGGUAGUUGUAUUUUCAUUUCUGAGUUCAUGUACAUACAGUGUAUAACUCGCGAGGCGAGUUCUUUUUAUUCUUAACGUUAUGUAUGUAUAUGGAACUUAUUUUCUGUUUACCUGUUCAUAGUUAUAGCUCUAUACUACUGGUUGUAGUAUUGUUUGUUCAUAGGUCUAGCUAUCGCUUCGUAUACAGGGGAAAGUCCUUUGUAUACAGCGGAUUUGUCGGCGUGCCCGGGGAACGUGUAAUCCGGGGCGUGACAUGCAUGAUGAUAACCGCACUAAAAUUCAUGAAGGAAUCAAGACAGAGUGCAUGGAAAAAUCGCCAAUCAAAGUCGAUGAGAAAAGACUGAAAACUCAGGAUCCACUAGCGGAAGUCAACCUAGGGUCGAAUAACGACAAACGACCAACAUUUAUUAGCGUGAAACUCUCGGCACUACAACAGGAGGAGUUAACAGGGUUGUUGAUAAAGUAUAAAGACUGUUUCGCUUGAAGUUAUAAGGAAAUAUCUAGAUUGAGACGAAAAAUUGUAAAACAUAGGCUUCCUAUAAACAAGGGGUAUAAGUCUUACAAAUAGUUGGUUUUUAGGUUUGAGCCGAGUAUUAUAUUGCAAAUCAAAAAUAAAAUUAAAAAUCUUUUAAGAGCCAAAUUUAUUAGAGCGACUCGUUAUAUUGAUUAGGUGUCUAAUAUAGUACCAGUGCGAAGAAAGAAUGACAAACAUAGAGUUUGCAUGGAUUUUGAAAUUUAAAUUUGGCAACACCCAAAGACAAAUACCCGGUGCUCAUAACUGACAUGCUAGUAGACUCGACAGCCAUACCUGAAAUUUUGUCCUUUAUGGAUGGUUAUGCUGGUUAUAAUCAGAUUUUUAUUGUCGAAGAAGAUGUAGCGAAAAUAGCUUUUAGGUGCCCAGGGUCCAUUGAGACUUUCAAAUGGAUAGUAAUACCUUUCGGCUUGAAAAAUAUCGAAGCCACUUAUAAAAGGGUAAUGAAUUUUAUUUUUCAUAAUUUUAUCGGUAAAAUACUGGAAGUUUACAUCAAGGAUAUCAUUGUAAAAUCCAAAUCACAAACUGAUCAUUGGGUUGAUUUAGAGCUCGCUUUCGAACGUAUGAGAAAAUACAAUUUAAAAAUAAAUCCUUUGAAAUGUGCUUUUGAGGUAUGAGUGGAAAAUUUUCUCGAAUUUCUAGUACAUUAGAAAAGGAUCGAAAUAGAUAAAAACAAAGCAAAGACGAUUGUGAAAUUGCCACCAUCUAAGAAUAAAAAAAAAUUGUAGAGCCUACUAGGAAAGAUAUAUAAAUUAUUUAUGGCGCUUCAUAUCGAAUUUAGCUGGCUGAAUUGGAGUAUUCACUCUAUUAUUUCGGCUCAAAAAUCAAGAGUAGUUUAUCUAGACAAGAGAACAACAAGAAGUAUUUAAAAAUAUUAAAAAAUAUUUAGUGAAUCCUCUUGUUCUCACUCCUCCACAAGGUCAACCGAUGAAGUUAUAUGUAUAUAACGCCCCAAUAGUCCCACAUCAGGUAGGAAAUUGAUUCUGAUUGGAAUAUAUGAGGCGUACACGGUAGUAAUAAUAACCAAGCUUAAACAUUUUGGGCCGGUGGUUUCGGCCUAAUGAGUUAUUGUUGCUAGCGGGUUGGGUCGUUAUAACUGGUAUCAGAGCCGAAUACUAGUUGGAAAUGUAAGAGCUAAGUGUUAUAUGGGGCAAAGUACUACACCAACAGGUUUGGGGGCCACAUCUUGAAUCCGUGGGAGCUACCUCUAAAAUCUCAGAUUGCCUGAAAAUUCUGCUCUGCAUUUGUGAUCUGGUUUGGAUCCGAUGAGGAUGUCAAGAUCUAAAUAGAGGGUGUUUGUAACGCCCCAAUAGUCCCACACGAGUGGAAAACUGAUUCUGAUUAAAAUAUAUGAGACCUACACGCUAGUAAUAAUUAAUAAUUGAGUUUAAGCACUUUGAGCCGGUGGUUUGGGCCCAACGAGUUAUUAUUAUUAGUAGGUUGGGUCGUUACAAUAUAUCGAUUGCAGAAGAGAAUUUGGGAUGUCUAUUGGCCUAGAAAAACAUCUAAAAGAGUAGGCUAUUUAUUAUCUCAGAUGACGCUUGUUAGACGUCGAACGACGUUAUUCGACAAUGGAAAAAUUGUGUUUAGCAUUAUAUAACGCAUGAGGGUUCAAGGAAGACUAGUUGAAUUAUAUUGAGACACUUUGACUCAUUGUCGACAGGUUGUGUCACUUUAGCACGAGCAAUCACGAGUAUAAUGUCAUAAUGUGCACAGUAGAGGUUAGUAUGGAUCUUUGAGGGAUUAGAGAUGCUGAACCUAAUGUAAUCUAAUGGUCUAGGACAUCACGAGUCUAAUAUUCUCUUUUUGAGGGUUGAUGUCUAUAUGCUGGUUGUAUGCGAUUUUUAAUAUAAAGCUCCCAAAAUAUAGGUUGACUCGGCGGUCGUACUGUUCAUUUUCCCGUAUGAAUGGAAUCGAUAGUGGUGUAAUGUUGAGAAAGUUGUUAUGAUGGCAUUAAUCCCGUCAUGUGCGAGUGGGAGAUGUUAGCAUUCGGUUAAACUGAAUCGAGUGCGCCUAUGAUCGGGCUUGAUCUGACGGUUAUUAUGUUGUCUAAUUAGAUUAGGAUUAAUCUCGUUUUUAAAUUGAAAAGCUAAUUAGAGAUAUGUUCUAACUAUAUUAGGAUAACAAUUAUAAACAAAUUCAGUCUAAUCUCUUACUUAUAUAUAUAUAUUAAGGUUUUGGGAUCCCUUAUAUAUAUACGUGGUUAUUCUCUCAUAAAAAUAAUAAGAAAAAAUAGAGACAGAAUACUCAAAAAUUCGUGAGUAAUUCGGGAGCCGUCAUGUGUGAGCGAGAAGCCACAUCCUACAUUAACCUAUUGUUCUAAAAAGUCUUGAACGAUGGAUUCGAGAUUAUUGCUCGUUUGUAGUUCGAUCUACCGCGGGUUUGGAGUGUUAGAAGACCUUCGUGAACGAUCCGAGAAUGCGUGAAUCAACCUCUACGAUCCAAACUCAUCGCGUUUUAGCACGAGUCACUUCCACAAAAAGUAUGAACGAAUACUUAUGUUGCGUUCUACAAAGAUUAACGGCAUGUUUGUCUAGACUAAAGUUUGGCAUGAAACUCGCAAGUUUGUAAUAACUCGAGAUCAUUGGCAUUUGGAGGUAACGUCAACCUCCACCUUCUGUGACGCCCACACGGCCCCCGCACACGUGAAACAGUCUCACGAGACAACGAGUUGGCAUACUGCACGAACUCGCGACUUUGCACAUAUAUGAUGUAACAUCGAUUGCCAACUUCCGUGGGGCCCACACAGCCUGCACGCGUGAAGCAGUCUCACAGGGCGGCGAGUUUGCAUACUGCAUGAACUCACGACUUCACACUCGUCACGUGAUAAGCUAGCCUGAGUUCCACCUACAAAUAGUAACUCGCCAUACGAACAGAACUCGCCAUCUUACACAAUGUUCAAAUCACAAAACACAAGAUUUUACACAUGGCGUGUGGCACAGAUGCAGCUACACAGUACAGAAAACAACUGACCAGCCACAUUCAAUAUCUCAAACUUCUCGGAAGAAAAUGUCGGGCCGAGGAUCGCAGAUACUUCCACAAGGAUUUCUCGUAGCGAGCAUAAAACAUUGUAACUUUAAGAACGAAAAAAAAAGAGAGCAAAAACAAAGCUCGAUAACUGCCAUUUUUACAUUAUUUACUUCAGCUUGUGUUCAAAACUGUAAUGCAACAAGAUGAGAACAUAUGUACAGCAGGUAGAGAGUCACUUCUUCGCAAUUUUCUCGAACAAACAUCAGGAAACAAAACAACCAAGGGAACAUAUUGUUGUCUGCCAUGUACACUUUGAAGGAUGUUCAACAAAUGGAGGGAAGAAAAGAAAAGAUAGCCGGAAUGCAAAAAACAUUCAACUCAGCAUCGCAGACUACAAACCGGGAACUUAAUUGCCUCCUAAACACAGGAGGUGCAAUCGGAGGAGGCAUUCUUUUAGGCAGUCAUGCUGUCUUGCAUUUCCUCCUCCGAUUUCCAGACGACGUCUUUGAGCUGGACGGAGAGACUUCUGUAGAACUGCAAACAGAUGAAACAAAGUUAAAGAUAUAAAGGAAUUCGACUGUUAGAGCACAAUCAGUAAAGAAACAGAUGCGUGCGUGUAUUGGUAUAUCUAAUAAAAGAAUAAAGGUAAAAACAUGCGGAACUAGCAUGAACUACGGUUUGCUGGAGACGACAGCGCAACCUUCAAAAAAUCAUGACUUCGCAGUAUAACCUUUCAAAUUAUUUUAUCUGCAUCCUGAGAACUUACUGCCUGCAGCCAGUGCAUCCGCCAUUACCGCACCCCCAUCUGCCCUUGAUUCUUCUGAUACUUUUACUGCAACCAUCCAAUCCUUAGUACGGAAAAGCGCAACUCAUCUCGUGGUGCUGAUUGACAAAUGCACUGGCCGCAGGCAAAAAUUCCUCAAGAGCCAUCAAAUGUCUCAAAUCAAAUGAAUCGAUAGGAUAGAUAGUAAAAUUAAAAUCUUUCCAAACAACCAAAAGUAUUGUGUGCUUCAAAAGAAUAUCUGCGAAUAGCAGAUAUUGUGUAUGUUUUUUAUAUGCAUAAAUAGAACAUUUCAAGUUAAGCAAGAUUGGUAUGUUACUUUAAAUGCACAGAUUUUAAAGGAGUGCGCAGUUAUCUAAAUACUACCUUCUGAAACUCCAGAGUAUCUCCUUUAGAUUUUUUGAGCUCAACCAUAUGAACAGAUGGGGCCAUUUGAAAUAUCUGAAAUUUGACAGAGAAAGUGAGUACUAUAUUACGACAAAUCAGGCUCAAAGUUAACUAAUCAAUAUAACUUUUCAUCGGACCUCAGUAGCGACAUUCAAAUUUCCCUUUCGCCCUGCUUUCAUGGUUUCCAGCUUCAUCUGGAAAAAGAAGAACAAUUGGUUACCAAAAGUCACGAAGCAAAAGCAUUGAAGUUAUCCUGUCUUUAUUCAUUACAUUAAGGUUUGAAACUUGCGAGGUAAAACUGAAUCGAGUAGUGUUCGACCUCCCGUUGCUUACCUUAUAAUUUUUCUUUUGAAUAUCGAACCCGAGAGGCUUUGCAGCUUCUUCAAUCUUAGUGACGAUUUCCUUCGCAGAACACUUUGAUGUAAACCUUUUUUCUCUUUUGAAUUCCUAUUACAGAAGGGAAGCUAGUAAGACAUUGCUUUAUCGGCCAAAACUAAUAAGAACAAAAAGAAAAAAACAAGGAGAUGAAUUGAACAAACUAAAGAGUAAGCAUUUAUAUGGAAGAGAACAUUUUGAUGACAAAUUACAAUCACGAAUAGAGUUCGAUUAUAUACAAGAGUAUAGUCAUUUGUUUUGUCCCCAACUAAUUAUUGACGAAAAGAGGUUCAAACCUUCUCAAUGUCGAACAAGUUCUCAAGAUUUAGUCCCUUCGAUAAUGAAAUCAACUCAAAUGCAUUCAUAGACGCAGGUUGUUCUUCUAUUUUCUCUUUGACAUGCUGAUCCUGUUGAAGACAUUACAAUGUAUCUAGUUUUUCAAUAAGAUUACUUAAAAAGUACAUGAUAGAAAGGAAAUUUUAGAGGGGAAAUAGAGAGGGAAUAAAAAACUAUAAAUGUCGCAUUGUCCAUUUUAUACUCACUUCUGAGUCCCCAAAUGCAGCAUCGAUGUCAUCCAAAUUCGCCUCACAUUUCUCCUCAAACACAGGUGGUUUAUAUCCUUUUCUAAACCAUUCAUCGACUAGUAUUUCUGGGAUAGUAAUUCGCUGGUGUUGAAGAAACAGAAAUAUCAGUAAUAGGAGAGCAGUUAAUUUCCAAGUACUAAAUACAUGAUCUUUUCCGAGGGAGAGAGAUGUAACUUUAAGGCAUAUAUUAUAAGGUUAUAACCAUAAAAAAUACAAGGAGAUUUUACAAAUAUAUCAUACAUGCCCCUUUAGUAUCUGAAUUUUCAUAUAUCCCCUUGAAAUUGCAGUGUUCUACAAAAAGAACCUUAAGUUGGUGGGUCGACCAUCUCAUGCGGGGGGCAGUUGAAUUUAUACAAGCCGAAAAUUUUAUAAAGAGCAACAUUUUUGUAAGUAUGAGGGUGUAUAUGUAAGAAGCGAAGUUUCCGAAGGUUUGCAGUGAUAUAUAUGUAAAUAGAUAGUUUUGCAGGGGAUAUAUGUAACUAUAUCAAACGACGAUCAGAGGACGGAAAGAGCUAGGAUUCAGUAAUUGCUGAAAAAUACACUUACAGUCACAGGGUUAGGGUCCAAUAUCUUUGCAAUUAAUUUCAUGGCACCGAAGGAAAGCCAGGAAGGGCACGUAUACUCAGCUGAAGAAAUCUGCAAGGGUGUCGGAUCGUUUUACAUAAAGAUGACAACCAGCAUAAACAAGAAAAGAAAACUUUAAUCAUGCUUACCUUUUUAUAUAGGUUCAUAAGAUUAUUGUCCUCGAAAGGUAAGUACCCUGCGAGCAUUACAAAUAGUAUAACCCCGCACGACCACAAAUCCGCAGCGGCACCAUGAUAGCCUCCAUCUUCGAGGACCUAAUAAAGAAAUCAAUUAGACAUCUAAAUUAGAUGUUUACUCAUUUCAUAAAGAAUACAAAUGUAUGAUUUCAAAAAUGAUGAACUUCAACAAGCAACGGUACCUCAGGAGCCACGUAGUUCGGAGUUCCACAAGAAGUGUGCAGUAAGCCAUCACCCUAGGGGUAACAAAACAAAUUUUGAAAUCAAAUUUUAGUUUUGGAACAUUAAAAAAAAAAAAAAAAAACACACUACUGAUCGGGGAGUCUUAAAAUAGAUAACACCAAAAUGAAUACCAGAUUGUCAAAAAUGAUGGGUACAGUAGUUUAGACUAACACAGAUUCCAGAUUGAAAAUUCAAUGUAUAUUAGACUUGUAAAAUUACCCUGAUUUGCUGAGACAGUGCACUUAGCCCAAAGUCGGAAACUUUGAGGUUGCCAUAUGCAUCAAGUAGUAAAUUCUCAAGCUGCAGAGAUGCGAAAAAAAGAAUAAACAAGUUCAAUUUCCCUUUUUAAGCAGCAACAAUAUCGAAGGCACAUUGUAUACAUCAUAUUUGAAAGGUAAUGAACUUGUCCGUUCUUUUACCUUUAAGUCUCGGUGAUACACGCCCCUACUGUGACAGUAAUCGACAGCGUUAAUUAACUGCUGAAAGUAUCUUCGAGCUUCGUCCUCCCUCAUCCGCCCAUAAUUAGCCUUCACAUAAUCAAAGAAGAAAGAUGUUAAAAAGUGCAUUACAAUCUAGGAUUGAGUGCAUUACGAGUCUCAUUUCAAAUCUCUACAGCUUACAAUUAUGUCGAAGAGCUCUCCGCCAGUAACAAGCUCCAAAACAAUGAAAAUCUUCGACUUACUGCCCAUCACCUAACAAAUAUAAAACAUGCAAUCUUAUAAUCACUGGAAAUAUUCAAGUUUCACAGAUAAGAUUUUCAAAGCUUAUUUCUGCAUUAGAACUAAAAAUUGAAGUGAAUAGAAAGAUGCGACAAGUCUUACACUCCUAUCCAACAAGUCGCAAUGAAAACCACAAGGCCAAUUUAUUGAACUUUUAAAUUUUGUUUGUGCCAGCUGCACUUCAUAAGUAUUUGAAUAAUCAAUCAUUACCUCCCUCAAAAAUUGGAAAACUAUGUGCAAUGUGAGCUUAAACAUGCAAAAGAAAAACUAACUUCUAGGAAUAGAUUACUACAGAACGAAAAAUCGACCUUUAGGAAUCGAUCUACUACAGAACAAGUCUCAAAAAGUAGAGAAAAGGAAUGAGCGCUAGAUGAAUGAUUGCCAAAUAGAGUGGUCUCUUUAGUAUUCAGAGGAGAUAACAAAUUACUUAAGCAAUUGUCUCUCAAAUCUAAUUUCCGAAAGAAAAUUCCUCGGGAAAAAAAAAGAAGAAGAAAAUCUCAGCAAGCAAGGAUAUAAUCAGAACCACCUGGAGAGAGUAAUUUGGCCAAAUUUCACAAAUAGAAAGGAAAUAAAUAAAUAAAAAUAAAUCUCUGAUGUCUAAUUACACGAUAGAAACAUCACUCGGCUUGAACAUAUUUGCCAAAGUUUCUCUUAUGAAAAUAAAACCAACGGGUAGGUUCGAAACCUUCCGCUAUUGCAGUUCAAAUACAUGCAACAAUAAAGCAACGAGGACAUGCGGCGGUAAACAUUAGAUUUUUCCAACUGAAGUAUGAAACAACUAAUAUCAGAUAUAUAGAAAAGUUAUGACAAGUUACCUCAUGCAGUCCAACAACAUUAGGAUGCUUAAUUAACUUCAUUAUGGAAAUUUCCCGCUUAAUCUGCACAGAAUUUCAAAAGCUACUUAAGCAUAAUGAGAGUGGAAGAUGUUAUAGAAAUGGUAUUUUGAGAUGUGAUAAAGAGAAGUGUUUCAUUUAAAGGCAAAUAAGUGCGUAACCUAUAUAAGAACAGAAUAAAACCAAUCUAAACGUGAUAAGAUUAUAUCAAAUAAAAUGGCUUUUUCUUGGGGAUUAACAAAAUGGAUUUUAAAAUAGAAAUAGGUGGAUGAGGCACUCGCAAGUGUGGAAUCACAGAGUUAAUUUACACAGCCUUACAACAGCAUGCUGCAACUGAAAAUUUUAUUUUUGUUACAUAAUUCGUACGAAACAUGAGAAGCUGCAGGGCUAGUGCUUCACAAUUUUUAUAAAGCAUUUUUGUUCAAUUUGGACAUCAUUCUUGGAUAUUUUGGAACGAUGACUGUCAUCUAUACAUAUUAGAAGUAAUAUGAAGCAUAACUAGGUUCAUAAAUGAAUAGUUGUCGUCUCUGAACCACUAAAAUGGAAAUUAUAUUAAAACACCAUCACGUGGCUUCGAGUUUAGCAGUUCGUUAAAUAAAGAGAGGAUUUGUUUAUCGGAGGAUAAGUGUUGCAUUUUGUUUUUUUCCCUUAACUUUGAGUUUUGAAUGAAAUCUCGAGAUGCAAAAUAUUGUAGUACAAAUAAAAAACUCUGUUGCGGUAUGCGUUUUGAAUUGUUCAGAAAAAACAAAGAGUUUUAAAGUAAAAGGGCACGAUGUGACAUUGGUGCAAGGAAAAAAAAAAGCCAAUGAGAAAAUAAGAUACAAGAGCUGAAUAGCAUAUUGGCUGGAGCAGGCCACUAUUGACUAGAGAUUCUAAUGCGAACGACGAUGCCAUGAAGAUAGACAAGCAGGACAAAACAAAGAAAAGUAAGGGAAUAUGCUGGUGAUACGAAGAAUUCGAAAGAGACCUGCUCGACUAACUUGUGCUUCAGAACCUUCUCCUUAUCAAGUAUCUUGAUGGCGACGGGAUCACCCGUCUCGGAGUUUUUUGCGAACCGGACCUUCGCAAAGGUCCCUUCCCCAAUCGUGCGGCCGAGCUCAUACUUGCCCACACGACGCUUCACUUUUGGCGCUGAUGCAGUCAACUUGGAUCUAUAACUCAUUUUUAACUCUUGCAAAAAACAAAGAAGAGACUUUCCAGCAAAUGCCUCUGAGAAAUUCUGAAACACCUGGAAGCAAAAAAAAAAAACAAAAGGUUUCUCUUUACAUUCUUGAUAGGAGAAAAUCUACUAACACUCACAUUGAUAAGAAAAGAUAGGAAAUUAGGAGAUAAGUCACAAGAUUUUCAGCGACAAAGAUUCCCAUUAAAAUCACUACCCAUAGAAAGAAAUUCACAUUAUUAUAGAAUUGGUAUUUCCAGAAAAAUCACAGGAAAAGGAAGCUAACAUCAACCGAUCGCCAAACCUCAACGCCCUCGUUCAAAACAAUUUCAUUUUUUCCCUCAUAGUAGAAGGUAUGUAAAAGAAUUCGUAAAUUUGAAAGUUACAUAACUCCAUUAGAAAAAAAAAAAAAAAAAGCUUUCUAAGAUAUUGAUAUCAAACAUAUCAUGCAAAAUGCGGAAUGUAAUGAAGUAUAAAUGAAGCUCAAAUUAUCUCGAAGAGAUUAUUAAUACACAAACUGAAAGCGAACAACGCAGACCGCCUAUACUCUCCAGAUGAAUUUCAGAUCCGACAAGUAACAAAAAUCAGAUCCAAGUGCAAAGAACUCCAACAGAAGUAACAUAUAGGAUAAAAUAUGAGUGAGUUAGCUCGAAGAUGAAAAGCAAUGCCUAUAUCAGAAGCUACUAACAGUAGCAAGUGAACUACUAUCUAACAUCUAAAACUAAUAGUUGCAACACUUCGAACCUCCGAAUCUGGGCAUAAGAAUCCAAUUGCCCUUCGCAAAACCCUCCAGAUUCCCUCUAAUGUAGAGUCCACAAUGUUACUAUAUAUACUAGACCAUCUCCAAGAUAUAACUAAAUACUAAAUUAUUAGAAUACAGUCCAUGUUACACAUCAGAAACUUAGAAAAUGAGCAUGGCACCAAAGAAAGAGGCCCUUAUAUUAGUCUAAAGAGGAAAGAGAGGAUAUUCUUUCUCACUGUAAGAAGAAACAGCUAAAAGUUCAGAAUCCCAAUAGUAUAUACAUAUACAAAGCAAAUUUAUAAACAAAGUCUCCAAUACUUUUUAACAAACAAAGCACUAAACAGUCAAAAUCAGCAAAAGCAACCAUUGAACAAUCAAACAUAGGAAAUUUGACUCCCACACUUUGAAAAGCUCACCUAUGUUCAAUAUUAUAUUAAAAAUAAAAUAUUAAGUAAAAAAAGACUAAAUUCUUGUUUUGGUGCCAAAACAGAAACCCAUAGAGGAAAUCAAAAAACAAAAUUCUUGAUUUGGGGAAAAAAAAUAUAUAUAUAUGUGAAAGAUUCUCAAACCCCCAAAUGACACACAAGAGUAGAAAUGAAAAAUCUCAAACCUUCAGGAAAAGGAAGAGAACCAACCCCAGAGCCCACAAAACUCUACACGCAUGCACCCACAGAGGAAAGAUCUCAACUUGGUGCCCCUCAAAAUGGCUCCUUUACAAUGUAUUCCCUAAAUUUUUGUCCCUAGGUGUUCACAAAAGUGAUCAAAUGAGUGGAAUGAAACCCAGUAGAGAACAAACCAAGAGAAGAAGAAGAAGAAGAAGAAGAAGAAGAAGGGGAAUGAGGGAAAUGGGGGAAAGGGUGGGGUUGUGUAAAUAGCAUCCCAAGCUCCAUCAAACACUAAGGUCCUGUUUGGAUGCAUUCUAUGGUUUUGACCUAAAUGAAAUACGGAAUCACGUAAUUACAAAAAAACUUUCACAGUUUUAUUUUUAGGCUGUUUGAAUACAGAUCAUAUAAUUUCACAAUAUUUAUAAUAAUUAAAUUUUUAAAAUUUUAAAAUUUAAAAUUCAAAAAUAAAAAUUUAAAAAUUAAAAUUCAAAAUUCAAAAUAUAAAAUUAAAAUUUAAAAUUAAAUAUUAAAAAAUUAAAUUAGAUUUUAUGUUUUAAAUUUGAAAUUUGAAAUUUGGUAUUUGAAAUUUAAAAUUUGAAAUUUGAAACUUUAAAUUUUAAAAUUUAAAGUAUACCAUUUAAACUUUAAAAUUUGAAAUUUAAAAAAUCUAUAAUUAAAAUUUUAAAUUUUAAAUUUAAUAAUUUAUAAAUUUACAUAUUUAUAAAUUUAAAAUUUAAAAUUUAAGUUUAAAUUUAAAUUUUGAAAAUUGAAAAUUAAAAAUUAAAAAUUAAAUUAAAAUUUGAAAUUUGAAAUUUAAAAUUUGAAAUUUGAAAUUUUUGAAAUUUGAAAUUUGAAAUUUGAACUUUUUGAAAUUUGAAAUUUGAAAUUUGAAUUUUGAAAUUUGAAAUUUGAAAGUUGAAAUUUGAAAUUUGAAAGUUGAAAUUUGAAAGUUGAAAUUUGAAAUUUGAAGUUUGAAAUUUGAAAUUUGAAAUUUGAAAUUUGAACUUUUUGAAAUUUAAAAUUUUAAAUUUGAAAUUUGAAAUUUAAAAUCAAAAUUUAAAUUGAAUUUUAAAAUUUUAAAUUUUGAAAUUUAAAAUUUUAUGUUGAAAUUUAAAAUUUAGAAAUUGAUAUAUUUUUUGAAGCCCAAAAUGGUAGAAUUUUUUUCCUUUGGUUAAAGUAGAUUGUAAGUUUACUCUAUUUUUUAAAGUAUAGUAUAACUAUACUUCAAAAAUUACGUUAUUUUUUUUUUCGUCCAAACGCUUCAUAGGAUUAUUUUCCUACCGGCAUUGCAUAGUUUAACUAUGCUACGUUUUUAGAGGUACCCAAACGGGGCCUAAUACCCCACUAAGUUUGUGACAAAAGCUUUGGCCUUUUCCUCUUUUCUCUCUCUCUCUCUCUUUCUUUAUGUAUACCAGCUUUGUACUGGAAUGUCCUUUGCCAUUGUUCAAAACGAAGAAAACCGCCACAUGGACUCUCUCACGCUCCCCGCUCCCUCUUUAUCUCCUGAAUUUUUUUACAAACAAUCCUCUACAAUUUGAUAAUUUACAAAAUAACCUCCCUCUUUAUCUCCUGAACUUUUUUACAAAAUAAUUCUUUAAAAUUUGAUAAUUUACAACAACAAUCGUGUCCAAAUUAUAUUUGAAAAACUAACCUUCUUAUGAAGAUUUUCUUUGAAGACGGUAAACCAUUUACCGUCUUCCUAAUUUUCCACAAAGACUUCGCUUAUUUAUUAUUUCUUUCUAUAUCAUAUAUAUAAAAUUCUAACUAUCACGUAAAUAUUUUAACAAAUCACGUAUAAUCUUAACAACCUGAAAAUCCUAAUAAUUUAUCCAUAUAAUUUUAUAUAAUCUUAACAGCCUAAAAGUUCUAAUAGUAUAUCCAUAUAAUUUUAUAUAAUCUUAACAGCCUGAAAAUCCUAAUAAUCUAUUCAUACGAUCCUAACAAUCAAAAAAAAUUCUAAUAAUAUAUUCAUACAAUCCUGAUAAUCAAAUAAAAAUUCUAAUUAUCUAUAUAUAAUCCUAGCAACCUCACUUUUUUAUAUUUCCUAUAUAAUCCACGCACAAGUUUUAUUGGGAAUCCGGUACUCGCCCCAGUACCGGAUAUCGUGAAUCCGCAACCCGCUCCGAUACUGACUGCUGUGGAUCCGGUAUCGAUUGUUGGGAUUCCGCAACGGAAACUUCGAAUCGGGUUUUUACCAUAAACCCGUCUCUUCAGCAAAAACUGAUACAAUCAUAAAAGAAAAAAAAUAUGCAGGUAAAAUAAGAUUCAUUAAAUAAGAGAAGAUUACACCUGCCUCCUCUUCUGCACAGAGUAGCUACAACCCGAGCCCUCUUUCUUUAAUUUCUUCUACCCUUCUCUCGUCUUCUAUAAACCCAUAAAGAAGACAAUCAUUCACACACACCCGUGCACUAGGUGUACUCAAUAACUCUCUCUCUCUCUCUCUUUUUCUCUCUCUGGUACGGCACCUCCAAGCUCUCAACCGUACUACUCCCAAAAAAAGCACCAUCAAGAGCUAUUUAUAAUGCUCAACUUAAAACGUACCACAAUCCUAAUAUAUUUAGGAUUCAUACUCUAAUAUUUAAAUCUAUCUUAAUCAAUCUCUAAUAGAUUUAAAUAUUAAUCCUAAUCUAGUUAGAUUUAUCCUCUAAUUAAUAUUUAAAUCUUAAUUUAUCAUUUAAAUAUUAAUUUUUAUCCAAAUAGAAUUUAACUACAAAUCUAACCAAAUCUUAACAAUUUUAAUGAAUGUGGCGAACGAUUCACCGUCUUCAAAAAAAAUUGGAGAAUGCGGGGAAUGAUUCACCAUCUUUAAAAGACAUGGGAGGACACAGUGAACGAUUCACCGCUUUUCGAAAAAUAAUCUCAGAUGGAGAAAAGAGAGUUAAUAUAAAUUUUACAGGAUUAUUUCAUAAUUAUAAAAUUUUAGAGGGUUAUUUUAAAAAAAAAAAAUCCAUAUCUCCUCCCCCAUUGUCUUCUACUCUGCACACCCCCUCUUCUCCACCUCAUAGUUAUUAACUGCUUUUGGGCCUUUUCCUACCUUGGAUAGUUUCCACUUUCCAGUUACCAACUCUUUUAUUAGCAUGUUUAUGUAUGCAUAUUAUUAUACCACUGAGUGUCCUUAGGUCUCACUGUAAAGUGUAGUGCUGAUCCAGUAGUAGCUUAUUCAGAUCAUACGCAAUACAAAGUUACUGCUUUUAUCAUUUGUUUUUUAUAAAAUAAGAAAAAACUUCAAAUAUUACCUAUAUGAUUUCGCACUAUCUCACUUUAACAUCUGUAGUUUAAAUUGUAUCACUUCCGUACUCUGCGGUUUUAUUUUUCUCUUUUUGUUAUCUCCUCCGCUAAUUUUUUUUCGUUAAAUCAGCGACAAAGUUAAAACUAAAGUGUACUAAAGUGAAUAUUCGGUAAACUAUAAUUGGAUAUCUAAAAUUUUUUAUAUAUGAUUAACGGAGGAGCUCACGAAAAGAGAAAAAAGAAACCACGUAAUACUAAUUGAUAUAUUUUAAACUAUAGAAUAGUAAAGUGAAAAUAUAUGAAACCACAUGAAUGGUAUUUAGAAUUUACCCUACAAAAAACAGUACAAUUUUUUUUUUCGUUUUGUAAGCGCUAAACAAAAGAUAGCUAAUAUUAAACAUAGAAAUAAAUGCGACAACACUUAAUGUUUUAUUUUAUUUUGUUUUAUUCCCUGGAACUUGAUCAUGCAAUUGAUCUAUGAUGUAGUUGAUAAAACACAAAAUUGGUCAAGUGGGUUCUUGCUAAUUGUUGUGAGACAAUGCAUAAGGAGUGCAAUUAAUUGGAUGUUACGAAAUUAUUUUGAGUUCCCUUCAAGCUUAGGUUGGAAUUAAUAAAGUGUAAGGAGUAAAAAGAUCAAAGUAGGGCACAGUUAAAAACGAAGGAUAUUUUCAAUGAUUGCAUCUUGUAUUAUAUAUAUGGUUGGACCACUAAACCAAGCGAAUAAGUGAACGUACGAAUUAUGAGUGGUAAUUUUUCUAAGAAAUUAUUUUUUCUUAUGUAAAUUUAGGUAAAAAUAUGAAUCAACUAAAAUUCGAACUUAUCGGUCCCAGAUACCAAUCAUCAAGUCCUUUGUCACUUGCAUGAGGGACAAUUGGUCUUUCCUGGUUUGUCAAUAUCAAUAGAGAGAGACGAAGCCGUGGCGCGCUUUAGGAGGAUUAAGUGCGGUGGAUCGAUCUCACAGCCUUGUUCUACGACAACUUAGGUUUUUAAGAGUAAAUAGUUGUUUCACAUUAUAUCAGAAUAAAAUAUUUUAAGUUCGAGUAUACCCUAGACACCUAGUUUUAUUGAAUUCUCUUGCAAAAUUUUUUUAAUAUUUUAUACAGAAUAACCACACUGUUGGUCCCCAAUCUUUAUUCAAGUUUUACCAUUUAAGCCUCAGCCUUUUAAUUUCUGUAAAUAAGUUUUCGAACCUUCAGUAUAUAUUGUUUCAAUAAAGUCUCUAUCAUUAAAAAUAGAAAAAACUUCAAAUACCAUCCGUAUAGUUUCACACUUUCUCAUUUUAGUAUCAUGUGGUUUAAAGUGUAUCAAUUUAGUAUCAUGUGGUUUUAUUUUUAUCUUUUCGUCGGCUUUUUCGUUAAUAUUUCGUUGAAUUAUUUAUAAGAAACUUCAAAUAGUCUAUCUAAAUUUAUUAAAUAUUUAUCAAGUUGUUCUUGAUGAUAGAGAUUUCGAAUCGAUGAUCGGAGCCGUUGAAGUUGAUCUAGAGUAUUUGAAAUAUCUAGAAACUAAAUUUCAUAAAUUUUAAAAAUUAUUUACAUGGUGAUCAAAGUGUUGUAAAAUCGACAAUUUUUGAUGGCCUAUAUGAGCCGUUUGCUUGUUUAACAGUGUAGAGCAAUUCAAAUUGCUUGAAUUUUUGAUAAAAAAUUCUUUAUAUUAUUUAGAUAAUGUUUGAUAAUUCUGAUUAUGAAUUGAGAAAGUUUAACCUCUAUUUUAAGAAGGUCAUUCAUUUAUGACCGUUCAUUUUUCAAACUCUUCGAUGAACUUGACAAUGAUUUUUAAAUAUUACAAAAUUUGGUUUCGAAACAUUUCUAAUUGUAUAGUUCAAUUUCAAUGGUACCGAUUAUGAAUUUGAAGCUCCGAUCAUUUAAAAUGACUUGAUAGGACAAUGUCCUCAAUCCUAUUAAUAGGAUAGUAGAUGGACUAUAUAUAUAUAUAUAUAUUGAAUUAUGUUAUUAUACUAUCGAUAAUACCAAACACUUUGUAUUAUCGAGUUUUCGACCGUUAAGUAAAAGAAUGUGUGGUUAUGAUGAUAGUGGUCUCCGAUUAAGAUGAUAGUAGUUCCUGAGGAUUAAGUGCAUGGUUGGUUGAAUAGUAUAUUCUACGGGUGGAAAUGAUCAAAAGGUAGAUCUAACGAUAGAAAACUCGAUAGUAGCAAGGGCUUGAUAUUAUCGAUAGUAUAGUAGUUGGACUUAUAUUGAAUUAUAUAUAUAGAGUACAGUUAUUAUGCUAUUGGAAGUAUAAAGGAUCUCGUGCUUCCGACUUUUUCGUCUUAGAUCAGUCCCUUUAAUCAUUUCUAACUUUUGGAUUAAUAUUAUUAUCCUGUGGGGAUCACUCAACUCCAAGAGUACUACUUAAUCUUAUGAGGGAUCGCAAUCAUUCCAACCGUAUAAUUCUUGAUCCAAGGGUCAAAAAAUCGGAAACAUCAAAUGCUUUAUGUUUUCGAUAGCAUAGCAACUUGACACACACACACAUAUAUAUAUAUAUAUAUAUAUAUAUAUAUAUAGAGUUGAGCUGGAAUGCUAUCGGUAGCAAACUAGCUCCGUUGCCACCCAUUUGUUUUCGAUGAUGGAGCCUUUAAAUCGACGAUCGGCGCCGUUGAACAUGAUCUAUACCACUUGAAGUAUAUAGAAACCAAAUUUCAAAUCAUUUCGACAUCAUUGACCUAAUGAUCAAAGGGUUUCAAAAUUUGUAAUUUUAAUGGUAGAUAUAAGGCAUUUUCUCGUUUAACGGUGUAAAGCUAUCCAAAUCAAUUGAAUUUUGGUUAGAAAAUUCUUUAAACUAUUUAGAAUAAGAUCUAUACUCUCGAUCUUGAUUACAAAAUUCCUAUCAUCACUUUUUAGAGGAUAUUCAUUUUUACGCUCACUUGAUGAUAAGAGAACAAUAUCGAAAAAGUAUGAAAUUUGAUUCUAGAUACUUCAAGUGGUAUAGAUUAUAUCAACGGUUCCGAUCAUCGAUUUGGAGGCUCCAUCAUCGAAAACAAAUGUGGCACCGGAGCCCGUUUGCUACCGAUAGUAUUCUAGCUCAACUCUAUAUAUAUAUAUAUAUAUAUAUAUAGGAUCGGCUGGAAUACUAUCGAUAGCACCAAAGUUUUCACCUCUAAAUUUAACUCUUUGAUUAUUUUUACCCGUUAGAUUAUACUAUUCAACGAACCACUUACUCAACUCUAGGGGCCCACACACACACAAAUAUAUAUAUAUAUAUAUAUAUAGGAUCCGACUGGAAUACUAUCGAUAGCAUCAGUUUUCCACCUCUAGAUUAACUCUUUGAUUAUUUUUACCCAUUAGAUUAUACUAUUCAACGAACUACUUACUCAACUCUAGGGCGCCACAUCAUCCUUAACCACACAUUUCUCAAUCCAAUGGCUAAAAAAUUAAUAUCACCAAUAGCUUGGUGCUAUUGAUAGUAAUUCCAACCUAGUUUUAUAUAUAUAUAUAUAUAUAUAAUAUAUAUAUAUAUAGAGUUGAACUGGCUACUAUUAGUAGUAAAAUCCCAUUGUUGCUACAGUUUUUUAGCCUUUGGAUCAACUCUUUUCAUUAUUUUCUAACCCAUUGGAUUAAAUACUAUAACCCAGUGGGGACCACUCAACCCCUAGGGGGACCACUCAACUCUAACCGACUAAUAUCAUCCUGACCUUACAAUUUUUCAUCUAAGGGUUAAAAACUUGAUAGCAAAAAGAGCAUUUUACUAUUAAUAGUAUCCAGCCUAAUUCUAUAUAUAUAUAUAUAUAUAAUAUAUGCAGGCUGCUGUGCUCUAGGAGCACGAGCCCUCUGUGUGCUCCUGGGCCGUUUUCGAUGAUGGGACUCUCAAAUCGACGAUCGCUCCAUUAGACUUGAUCUAGCGUAUUUGAAGUUUCUAGAAAAUAAUUUUGCAAUUUUUUCGAUAUCAUUUACCUAGCAAUCGAAAGGAUUCAAAAUCAAUCAUUUUUAACGGCUGAAAAUAAAAAUCAUAUAAAAAGUGGUGAUAUAGCAUAAAAUUUCGAUCAUAAAUAUUGAUCUUUGUAGACAGUAUUAAGAAUUUUGUAUCAAAAUUUAUCUGAUUUGAAUACUUCUACAUCGUUAAACUUGAAAACGGCAGAUAUCAACCAUUAAAAUUAUUGAUUUUGAAUCCUUUCGAUCACUAGGUAAAUGAUAUCGAAAAUCGCAAAAAUUAUUUUCUAGAGACUUCAAAUACCCUAAUCAAGUCUAACGGACGCGAUCGUCGAUUUGGAUGUCCCAUCAUCGAAAAACGGCUCAGGAGCACGGAGGGCUCCGUGCUCCUGAGAGCACAGCAGCCCUACUAUAAUAUUAAUUUUCAACCAUGUGUCAUUAUUUUACGCUCACUUGAUGAUAAGAGAACAAUAUCCGAAAAAGUAUGAAAUUUUUCUAGAUACUUCAAGUGGUAUAGAUUAUAUCAACGGUUCCGAUCAAUCGAUUGAGCCCAUCAUCGAAAACAAAUGGGUGGACACGGAGCCCGUUUGCUACCGAUAGUAUUCUACUCAACUCUAUAUAUAUAUAUAUAUAUAUAUAUAGGAUCCGGCUGGAAUACUAUCGAUAGGCACCAAAGUUUUCCACCUCUAAAUUUAACUCUUUGAUUAUUUUUACCCGUUAGAUUAUACUAUUCAACGAACCACUUACUCAACUCUAGGGCCCACACACACACAAUAUAUAUAUAAUAUAUAUAUAGGAUCCGACUGGAAUACUAUCGAUAGCAUCAGAGUUUCCACCUCUAGAUUUAACUCUUUGAUUAUUUUUACCCAUUAGAUAUACUAUUCAACGAACUACUUACUCAACUCUAGGGCCCACAUCAUCCUUAACCACACAUUUCUCAAUCCAAUGGCUAAAAAAUUAAUAUCACCAAAUAGCUUGGUGCUAUUAAUAGUAAUUCCAACCUAGUUUUAUAUAUAUAUAUAUAUAUAUAUAUAUAUAUAUAUAUAGAGUUGAACUGGGCUAACUAUUAGUAGAAAUCCCAUUGUUGCUACCAGUUUUUAGCCUUUGGAUCAACUCUUUUCAUUAUUUCUAACCAUUGGAUUAAAUACUAUAACCCAGUGGGGACCACUCAACCCUAGGGGGACCACUCAACUCUAACCGACUAAUAUCAUCCUGACCUUACAAUUUUUCAUCUAAGGGUUAAAAACUUGAUAGCAAAAAGAGCAUUUUACUAUUAAUAGUAUCCAGCCAAUUCUAUAUAUAUAUAUAUAUAUAUAUAAUAGCAGGCUGCUGUGGCUCUUAGGAGCACGGAGCCCUCUGUGCUCCUGGCCGUUUUCGAUGAUUGGACUCUCAAAUCGACGAUCGCUCCAUUAGACUUGAUCUAGCGUAUUUGAAGUUUCUAGAAAAUAAUUUUGCAUUUUUCGAUAUCAUUUACCUAGCAAUCGAAAAGAUUCAAAUCAAUCAUUUUAACGGCGAAAAUAAAAAUCCUAUAAAAACGUGUGAUAUAGACUAAAAUUUCGAUCAUAAAUAUUGAUCUUGUUGUAGACAGUAUUAAGAAUUUUGUAUCAAAAUUUAUCUGAUUUGAAUACUUCUACAUCGUUAAACUUGAAAACGGCAGAUAUCAACCAUUAAAAUUAUUGAUUUUGAAUCCUUUCGAUCACUAGGUAAAUGAUUCGAAAAAUCGCAAAAAUUAUUUUCUAGAGACUUCAAAUACCCUAGAUCAAGUCUAACGGAGCCGAUCGUCGAUUUGGAUGUCCCAUCAUCGAAAACGGUCAGGAGCACGGGGCUCCGUGCUCCUGAGAGCACAGCACCCUACUAUAUAUAAUAAUAUAUAUUAUAUAUAAUUGAGCUCCUAUGCUUUUAAAAGUACCAAGUUAUUGGUACUGUAGGUUUUUAGCCAUUGGAUUAAGAAAAUAUCGUUAGGAUGAUGUGGCUCCUAGGUUGAGUGAGUGGUUGGUUGAAUAGUAUAAUCUAAUGGUUGAAAAUGAUCCGAAAGUAAUAAAUGAUUUAACAGUAAAAAACUUACAAGCACCAAGUGCUUGGUGCUUUUACAAGCACCAUAGCUGACUCUAUAUAUAUAUAUAUAUAUAUAUAUAUAUAUAUAUAUAUAUAUAUAUAUAUAUAUAUAUAUAUAGUGUAAGGCUGCUAUGCUAUCGGAAGCACGGAGCCUUCCGUGCUUCCAGCUCGUUUUCGAUGUAGCGACUUUCGAAUCGUCGAUCGCUCCGUUAAACUUGAUCUAAGAAUAUUUGGAGUACCUAGAAAAUAAAUUUAUUAUUUUUCGAUAUCAUUUGCCUAGUGAUCGAAUGGACUCAAAAUCAACAAAUUUCAAUGGCCGUAUUGAGCCAUUUGCAAGUUUAAACGCUGUAGAAAUAAUACAAAUCACGUGAAAUUUUGAUAGAAAAUUCUUUAUACUAUAUAAAACAAGAUCAAUAUCUUUGAUUUAAAAUUUAAUGUCAUAUAUUACAUUUUGUAAAUUUUUAUUUUCAACCGUGAUUUUGAGCCCCUUCGUCACUAGGCAAAUGAUAUCGAAAAUACAUAAAAUUUAUUUUCUAUGUACUUCAAAUACUUUAGAUCAAUUAACGGAGCCGAUCGACAAUUCGAAAGCCGUAACAUUGAAAACGAGCUGGAAGCACGGAAGCUCCAUGCUUCCGAUAGCAAGUAGCCUCUCUUCUCCUCUCCUCUAUAUAUAUAUAUAUAUAUAAACUAGGCUACUAUGCUAUUAAUACACCAAGUCGUUGGUGCUACCAAGUUUUUAGCCAUUGGAUUAAGAGAUUGUGUUAGGAUGAUGUGGGCCCCCUAGGGUUGAGUGGGUGUUGGUUGAAUAGAUGAUCUAACGGUGAAAAUGACCAAAUGAUAGAUUUAACGGCGGAAAACUUAGUAGCACCAAGUGCUUCGUGCUAUUAAAGCAUAGUAGCCGGACUCUAUAUAUAUAUAUAUAUAUAUAUAAAUAUAUAUAUAGAGUAGAGCUAGAAUACUUGUAAAAGUAUCACCCAAGUGAUACUUGUGUGUUUUUUAACCCUUGAUGAGAAUGUGAGGUUGAGAUGAUGGUGGUAGGUGGUAGUAGGUGGUAGGGAAUAGUGUUUGAUCCAAGGACUAUUAGUAAUCAAAAAGUAGAUCUAAUGGCUAAAAACACACAAAGUAUCACUUGGGUGAUACUUGUAAAAGUAUUCUAGCCCUACUCUAUAAUAUAUAUAAUAUAUAUAUAUAUAUACGUGACUACUAUGUUCUUUUGAGUAUAGAGCCAUUUCCGGUCCUCUAGGGUUUAGUAGGUGAUUGGUUGAAUAGCAUAAUAUAACAGAUAGAAAAGAUCAAAGAGAUAGAUCUAACGAUUAAAAACUUAUAAAUAUAAAGCAGUCUAUACUCAUAAAACUAUAAUAGCCAGACUCAUAUAUAGGUUGGAGUUACUAUACUCUUACGAGCAUAGAGCCCUCUGUACUCGUAAGUGUUUAUAUAUAUAUAUAUAUAUAUAUAUAUCAGAUAAAGGUUAGAAACCAAGGAAAAUUACAAACUUAGGUGAAGACAAGCUAUCAGCAGCCCAAGUGCACCCACUAGUUCCCAAAUUUUAAAUUUUAGGGCCUGAGAGGGCAAUAAAAAUCAAGAUAAAUGGAGCUUACUAGGAACCCUAUUUUGUGAGGCUAGAAAAUUCAAGAUGAAACAACUUAUUUGAUUUAGAGCCUGUUUGGCCGCACUUCUUUAACUUAUUUUACAAGAAUUAGAUCUUACUGAACCAUUGAUUCUACAGGAUUCAAGAACCACAUAAUCAACAUAUGAAGCAAAAUUUGGACUUCGCAAACGAUUACACGUACGCCUAAUCGAUAUUUCAAAGGGAAUCUCUUCGUUCAUGCAAAAUUUUCUGUACUGGACGAAAAAUGAUAGUUGUGCAUAGAUAUAUAGGUCCUACGACACUCAAUUUAAUGCAUGCAAUAAUAUAUUGAUGUAUAUAUAUUGACUUAUAUAUAUAAUGCAUAGCAACGUAUCAGCGAAUAUAAAGGAUAUAUACCAUUCAAAGGAGUACUAUUUGAAUCACUUAUCUUUUUGGAAAAUAUUGUGUGGGGCUUGAAUGUAGACGAUUAUAGAUUUUCCGUGUUUAGCUUUUCUUUCUCGCCGAUUUGGAAUUAUCCAAAAUGGGUGCCCGCUACCGGGCUGUUUGGUUGCAUGCAUUUCUAAUUGCAUUGCAGUUGAAAAUGCAUACAUCUAUUAAAUCUUUGUUUAGUUUGGUAUAGUUAGGCCCAAGUGCUGCAGUUGCAUCUGUACGAGAAGGCCCAACUACAGUAAUUGGUACUGCAGCCAAAUUGGCUAUAGUACCAACUGCAGCAGUUGGGCCGGAGUCAGCGAUCACCCAUUAAAAAAAUAAAACAAAAUGUGAUUUUUUUCAUACGCUUCUUUUUUUUAUUUUUUUUUCAAAAAUACCUAUUCAUGAAAUUUGAUAGGAUUUAAUAAUGUCUAUUAGGGUCAAUAAAUUUUUUUCAUAUGUUUCUUUUUUUUUCAGUCGGUUAGUUUAAUAAUAUCUUAAUUUUUAUUUUGACCAAAUUUAUAAUAUAUUUGUAUUUAAAAUUUAUUAAAUUCAUACAUAAUUUUAUAAUAUAUAAAUUAUACAUAGAUAUAAAAGUCUUAAUUAAUAAUUAAAACAUGAUUAAGUUAUGCUCAGAAGAGAUAAUCUCACAUUUCUAUUUAAAAAUUGACAAAAUUUAUAAAUAUAAAUUUCAACUGCAGACUACCAAACGGAAGAAAUGUCACUGCAGCAGUUGUAACUUUAUAAAACCAAACAGACUAGGUAAGCAGUUGUAACUUUAUAAAACCAAACAGACUAGGUAUAGUUAUAGAGUACUAAAGUUAGAAAGCGUGAAACUACAGAGAUGGUAUUUGAAGUUUACCCUAAAUUAAAUUAGAAUAAAUUAAUAAAUGCACAAGUAAUCCCCAAACUUUUAGACAAGUUUUAUUUUGGCCCUCCAACUUUCAAGUUCAACAUUAGUUCUCUUGAUUUUUGGCCCUCCAAAUUAAUAUUUUUUGCACUUAAAUUUCACUUAAAGUACUGUUUUUAGUCAACUUUUAAAUUAAAACAUUUAAUACUCCCAAAUUUUCAAAAAUGCAUGUUCGACAAAAAAAAAGGGCUCCAUUAAUUCUUUAAAUAAAUUCAAAGAGCUGAACAAAGCCAAUAUAAAAGUAAAAUUUAACAAAGAGUUAUUGACCUGCAGUGCAAAUUAGGAAAAAAAAAAAAAUAGUCCCAACGUUGUAUACAAUACCAAAAUAUUAAUGUUCCUCAAUUGUUCAAUCUUUUUGAGUAAAUCAAUUGUUUCACAUGAUAUUAUCACAUUUUCUCCCAUUAAGUUCAAGCUUAUAUUCCGAGCGUAUCAACAAGUCAUCAGUUCAGAUGCGAUAAAAAGUAUUGAAUUCAAAAUAUUAUAAUAUUAUUCUUUAGUAACCUGAGCUUCUAAAGUAUUUCACGUCCAGAUCUCCCAAAUUCUCAUUCAAGAUUAUCAUACAAAUCAGAUGCAGCAUCACCAUUCCUCGAUUGUUCUUUUGUCACAAAAUCAUAUAAUUCAGAUCGUUUAACUUACGUCAUUUUAAAAACCGACUAAUGCUCACAAAUCACGCAAAAAAAUCAGAUGGGUCUGAUUUUUUUUUUUUUUUUUACUUUAAAUUUUUCCUAAUACCAUCAACUGUAUCACACAACCAAUUAUGUCUCUAUCAUGCCAGAUAAUAAUAUCAUGACUACCCAAUCAAUCAAGCACCAAAAAGAAAAAUAAAAAAAAGGAAAAGGAAAAGAAAAAGUGUAGACAUAUAUGCCACACUGGAAUGUUAGGAAGCUUCCUCUUAAAUGGAGAGAGACCCCAAGUAGUAACAACAACAACAACAACAACAACAUAUAUGAAUGCGACAUACAAAAUAGGCCAUGGGCAAAUAUGUGGACAUUCAAUGCACUACUAAAGUUUUGCAUGAAUUUGAACAUAUUAUAUUAUUAUAUAUGACAUAUUUGGAGAUAUAACCGUAGACAUAGUCCGUGGGGAUUCGUACUAUUCCUUUUUCGUAGUCCCAUUCGUUGAUGUUUGCGGCUAUAAAUGGAAAAAUUAAGUUGAUUAGAUUAGAUGAGAUGAGAUGAGAUGUUAGACACCGCACAAUGAGAGUGGUUGCUGCUAAGUUUGACACGCAAGCCGCAGAUAUAGAAUCUGGGCGUUUCGAUAACAGUCACUUUCGCCGCAGCUUUCUACGUUUACGCAGCGAAGAUAAGAGCAUUCUAUAGAUAAAAAUAUCUUUACGGCAUAAUAGCGAGUUUUACAUACAUAUAUAUAUAAAAGUAUUUAUUAUUUUUUGUAGUAGCAGAAAUAUGCAGCCGAGAUUAAGAUGUUCUACAUAUAUAAAAAAUAUCUACAAUUUUUUUGUAGUAGCAGAAGUAUGCAGCAGAGAUAAAAUUUGAAGGCACGAGUUCUACAUAUAAAAAUAUCUAUUGUUUUUUAUAGUAGCAAAAUUAUGCAGCAGAGAUGAGAGCACUCUACAUAUAAAAAUAUUUACUGAUUUUUGUAGUAGCAGAAAUAUGCAGCAGAGAUAAAAUUUAAAAGCUCGAAAUGCCAUACAGCAAUAGUGAGUUCUACAUAUAAAAAUAUUUAUUGUUUUUUAUAGUAGCAAAAUUAUGCUGUAGAGAUGAGAGCGCUCUACAAAUAAAAAUAUUUACUGAUUUUUGUAGUAGCAGAAGUAUGCAGCAGAGAUAAAAUUCGUCAUUUAUGUACAAAUCUUAAGACAAUACAAAAGGUGGAUUUAACGGAGUCGUCAUAGAGAUUGUCCAUAUAUAAUUUUUGUUCCUGAUUGAUCUAUUUAGCACUUUAUCAAUCAACACUGUACCAUUAUACUACAUAGAAAGGGCAAAUUUUUAUUUUCAGAAACAAGUACUUUGUAGCAGAAAAUGGAAAUAAUAUCAGAAAACUGUAAGUAGAAGCAGUAAUUUAUUAUUUCCACUAUUACUGAAGUUAUUAAAAAAAAAAAGGACACCCUGUUAAAUAAAUUCUAAUAUAAUGCAUGAGAUAUAUUUUCGCUUAAUAACACUGUAUCCUACAAUAGAAUCAAUUAAUCAGAUCUCAAAAAUGUUUUUUGUGUUACUUGUUCUACUGUUUGAAAAUCAAAGAAUUUUCUCGACUUCACAUCAUGAACAUCAAGUUCCUGAACUCACCAAAAGCAAAUGUUUAAUUUGAUUCAAGUACUCGUGCUUGUAAAUAUCUAGCUUAUGUGGUUAGGAUAAGCUUCAAAGGAACAGUGUAGCACAGCUUAUUGUCAUCUCAAAUAUUUUGUAAUUUGUUUGUAUUCUUACUAAUGCUGUUCCUUGAUGUCGCUGUUUCAAUCCUCUCAGAAUCAAGGGAAGGAAAAUGAUGUGCAUAUUAACCUAAAAUAAUUAAAUUAAGGGGGUAUAUGAUUACAUAUAGUUAUAACUAUAUGUAAAUUUAAAUUCAGUAGUUUAUCUGAUGCAUUUGUAUCCAACUGCAGUAUUUAGAAUUGCAUGAGAAGGUCCAACUGUAGCAAUUAAAAUUAUGCGUAAAUUGACCGCAAUUCAACUACAACAGUUAGAGAUCGAGUUUUACUUUAAACAAGCUAAACUUACAAACCUAAUCACUUUUAAAUAGAAAUUGUUUUUUUUCUACAUUAGAGGUAAUCUCAUCACCACAUAUAUAAAAUGAAAGAAAAAAAAGUACAGUGCACUUUUGAGUUGUAUGUUUUAACGUACGUAACUGAUCUAAAUUACGACUCAUUUUGAUCUUAAUCUUUAAACAUUUUGAAUUUGCUAUCUAACCUUAUAACUCAUUUGAAUUGAAUAAUCCAAUAAUUUUUAACUUCAUAAUUUGAAUGCAUCAUUUAUUUUUGUAGACUUAAUUAGCAUAAUUUACUUGAUUUAUACAACUAUAAUUCUAUUUAAUCUAGAGUUUAUACCGAAAGAGCUAUCAAAUGGCUCGCUUCAGAUAGAUCGGAAAAAUUGGAUUUAAAACCAAGCUUUUAAAAGAUUGUGUGGUUGAGUUAAGCCUAGGCAAAGUUCAGCUAAAGUACUAUAUACAUUUUUACCUUGUUUUUAAUGCAUGCAAACAAUUGUAAAUGUAACGUUGUACCUUGUUGAGACCAUACAUAAAAUGGUCCUAAACUCUCCCAUACAGCAAGAACAUGUAAGUUUUGUACAGCAUUAAUGACUACACACUAAAGUGUAGCUCUAGAGGCUUUCUAUAUGGAGUACUGGACCAUGCUAACAUUGGACUUUAGGGCACAUGGGCCUCCCCCAAGAGAGAUGUUUCAAUCCUUGUUGUAAUGUUAACAUCAUCUGUUGUUAACUUUAAAAAACUUCUGUGUGGACAAGAAAAGUUUGAGUACUCCUAUACUCAGAUGAGGAAAAAAAAUGUGCCAAUGCCUUUUAUAGGAGUAACCACAAAUUGGGGAAAUAUAAAAGGGCAUUGGAAGGAUCCAGAAGAAUAUGCUUGGACAACAUAUAGUGGGUUUUCCUGGACAAGAGCACAUGAUAUUGCCCUGUAUGUUCAGAUGGUGACUUGCAGUAAUGAUUGAAUUGAAUAGGUGAAGACAGAGGGAUAACCUUAGCAACUAUGCUGGCCCCUCUAGGAGAUAUGAAAUAGAGUAUUGCUACAGGUUCCCAGAGUGUUGCACUUAUAGAUUAUUGAUGAGUUGAUAAUUCAUGACGCGGAGCGUGUUAAGACUAAUCCUGAACUAUUUCUUGCUAGAUCGAUAUUUUGAAUAAGAUUGUAUAAGAGCCAAUUCUAAGCUCCCUCUGUUUUAAGAGAUUUUGAGUUUAAUUUCUGCAUCUGUUGUUUUACGGCAUGCGUUUAUGAUAAUUGUUCCGUUAUUAUCUCUCCAGUCAGUGCACGUGGCAUAAUGAUCCAAAGCUGUUAGAACAAUAUUACUCAAUCAUAAGGUCCUAUAGGGUUGUAGUUCGAAACUUCAUUAUAUUUCAAUAAAUGUUUUCUUCCAAGACAUGAGUCAAGCUUUAAUGAUUUUUUUUUUUUUUUUGAGAGAAACUUUAAUGAAUUUAUUUACAAGCUUUUCCCACACACACACAAAAAAAAAACAACAACAGAAAGGAUUUUUCUCAUUUCCUACAUAAAAUGUCCAAGUUUCUCCCCUUCCAAAAACUAGAGAUCUGCUAAAAGGAAAGAAAACUUCAUUGUAGGCAUUAACUUUUGGGUCUUCCUCAGAAAAAAGAUAACUUCAAUAAUAUCUACAAGAGUAUACAUAAAUACAACAAUCUGGAAAACACAUCAAAUGCACUCACACUUGAGAGACAAAAAUCAGCCUUUAAGAAUUGCACCUAUCACCCCACUCACCCUCAAAUGCAGAACAGGAUACUUAAUCGUCAUUUCCGCACUUUGGCGAGUUGUUUAUAAUUACACCACAUGCCAGGUUGAAUUUGAAGUUCAUGUGAAUGAAUGAAAUGAAUUGUAUUCUUCUAACCUUCGGAAAAUAAAAUCUUGAAAAGUUGCAGAUUGGAUUAUGUCUGUUGUGAUGACUCCGAGUCUCCACGUGUAUCAACUUUUAGGUGACUCACUUGAACAAUUCUGCAAAAUAAGACCAAUGUCGGUAAAUCUUUUUUGCCCAUUCUCUCACUAAUAUCGGCUUCAAUGGAAGAGAUCUAUUUUUAAUUUAACAAUAUUUAUUGAAGUUUCUAAGUUAGACUUAUAAGUUACAAUAUUAUUAGCAUCAGUAAGGGAAUUCAUUCUCAGCAGAUUCCAAUUCAAAAGCAUCAAGAUAUACUUUUAAAAUCUGUCAGACAUAGAAUUGAAAUCCUGCAAUAACUCCGAUAGAAGGUUCAGAAACAUCUGCAAUUUUGCAUGAAAAAUAACAUUUCGAGAUAUCUACUACUGCUCUAACUCAUUUUUAGGCAUGCAAAUGAUAACAAAAGGCGCAAGAGUCUAUAGAGUGGUUUUAACAUAAUGUCAUGUCGUUUGUUCUUGGACUCUUCAAUUCCCUGAUUAAACCAUGCUUAAUAUUACAGUUUUAUCAACAGCAUACGACUUUACCCUGUAAGAAAGAAUCAUCGGCAAGAAUGUAAGACAUCAUAAUCAAUCGACAGAACAUUGGCAAUUCAUCCUCCUAAAAAGGAUAUUUUGAUUACGUACUAGGCACAAGGCUUAAUUGUACUAGUAUGUUCUCAUAAUUGUAAAUUUGUUAAUCUGGAAAAACAAAACUUACCUUAUGAUUGUUGCAUAUGACCAUCUCCAUGAGCUGAUGUCGUGCUCGCUCUUUCUUCAUCAGCCCUUGCAACUUCAAUAUCUCCAUCUUCAGAACUGUAGCUCUCACUUAAGUCUAGAGAUUCUGUAUCUUUAGUGUGUUGAAUAACAGGAAAAGCGAAUGGAUCUGAUGCAUCUAGUCCAUGUCUUUCCUUCGCCUGUAAAUUAUUCUCGAUUUCGGUGUAAUCCAAGCCCCGCAAUAUGUUUGGAACGGACAAAUUGCUGUCAAAUUCGUGCCUAACACCUAUUUCCAAGUCUAUUUUCUCCUUCAGGCCACCCAAACUAAUUCCGUGAUAUGGAGCAAUAGUAACGGAUCCAACUUCUGAUGCCUCCUCGGUCACCCAUGAUCGAAAUUUAUUCAAUGAAGGGGGCAUUUUCGAGAAAAAGACUUGUUUGAAGUUACUUAAUAUACCCUUGUUAUAUGGAUUUUCCUUUUUAUCGUAGCGGUAUCGGAAGUUCUCAUAAGUUGUCUGCACCAAAAAAGCAUCAGCUCUUUUCGGUAGCCGCAAAGAAUAGGAAGAAAGAAAACUAUAACAAUAACUCAAAACUUUAAGAAUCACAUAAACUUAAAAAGAAAAGUUUCAUCACAUUAAUUCAAGGUCACCAUGAAAGAAUUAUUCGCAUAUGAUGCCCCUCAUAUACUUCUAGAAUGAAUAUACUAAAUACAGCAUUUUAGGAGAAAUAUGUGCAAGUUUUUGUGGACAUUAUUAAGUAUUUACCUGAUUCGAGCUGAUUAGGUAUGUAUGGAAUGCCGUGAGACCACCGACAAACCAUACUGCAAUGAAAGUGUACACUAUUAGCACUAGGGACAAAACCUCGCCCGUCAUGGACUUCCACAAUGAAUUGUUGUAGUUUUUUCUCUCCUCGAUAAUAUUUAGCCAGGAAAGGGUGAAGACAUAUAUGCAAAGGAAGGUCGACGAUGAUAUAAAUAAGUAAAAGAACCGGUAGUUGCGCUGCAUCAAUUUUAGGAAGUUUUGUUAGUUCCAAGAAAUAUUAUGUGAAAAUGUACAAUAUAAAAAUGUACGGAUCGUAACUGAGGUCUAGUGCAUUUUGAAACAGAUACCUGAACUCUAAAAAUAUCAAUUUUACUACCUAACCUUACAAAAUAUAGGAUCUAAGUAUCUCAGCAACAGAACUUUAUGCUGUUCUUUACUUCUUUUGAAGGAAUAUUCUGUAAACAAAUGGACUAUGCUAUCACGUCACAAAAUAUUCAAUAAAUUUUGAUGAACUUGAGAAACUUUCUGAAAUCAAAGGUUAUAAAACGUUAGGUAGUGUAAUCCAAAUUUUCAUAGUUCGGAUAGCUAUUUCAAAAUGCGCUGCAGUUCAGAUAAGCCAUAGGUUUUCAGCAAUUUAUAAUUCAGAUAACUUACCAAUCCAAUGCACUGACCAACCCAUGGGCAGUGGUGAUCGAACUUCUGGACACAGUUAUUGCAGAUUGAACAGUGAGAAGCCCGAGGUGGCCGAUACAGCAUACAUGUAUCGCAGUAUUUCACCUUUACAGUGUAGCCAUUUACAACAACAUCCUUUGUGCGCGGCAGCCGUAAGUGCGGGCUUGUUGCAUUGAUCCACUCCAUCGAAGGAGUGUUGACAUCGAAUGCCUCAUCAGGCGGGCGCGAAUUUCUCGGUAGUAUACCAGGAUCUCUACUAGACGUCAAAAAGAGAAAAGCCAAAUCCUAUACCACCCAUCAACAAUGUAAGUAAAUGUCUCACUUAGGAGCCAGCUAGAGCGUCUACAUAUAUGUUGUUUGAGUAGAUCUUUUCGAAGAAGCACUAUAAACUCUUUUAUUAAGUAUCUCCACUACAGCUUCUAGCAGUAGUGAAUCAAAUUGGAGCUUUUGCUUUUAGGGUCCAGCUCAGCUUUCUUGCCACGGCAAAAGUUUGGAGCUUUCUGCUUACUAGAGUACAGAUGCAUAAGCUACUCGAGAAAUAGGGCGAAGCCUAGUUAAUGAACGAAGAAAAUUAUUUAUCACUUACCGAUAUCAUGAUAACGAUUGUCACGAUUAACACUGGAAGGCCAAGUAUAUGUUUGUGAUCACUAUUUGAGGCAUUACUGUGUGAACUUUCAUGGCUAUGGAGCUUUGUAAUCACUUGACAACAAAAGGCGACUGAUGGACCUGCUAUUAGAAUUGUAGACAGAAAGAGAGAAGCCACAUCUGGACCAAAUAUCAGUCUCCCACCGCAGAAGAAUUUCUGAGAAGAAGAAGCAGCAGAAAGCAUAAGAGUGUGGGAAUACUUGUAUCAAUUAAAUUGCACACAUAUGUUAUGUAGAUGGACAUAAGAAACAAUGUAGAAGAUGAUCAAAGAAAUUAUUUUUUUUCCAAAUAAUACCUUAUGCUCAAUAUGAAAAGGACAGGAAAAAAAAAACUUCAUGAGUACUAUGUUUAAACUCAUACUCUUAUUAAAAGUAAAUUCCAUGUAUCCAUGCCAAUGCAAACUAUUUUUUAAUGCCAAUGCAAACUAAACACGAAAGGGAAAGUUCGUGCCCAGUAAUCUAUUAUAAAUGAGAAAAGGCAUUAUCUUUGUGAGCCAUACAAAUAUCAAAAUUACAAAAGUAUGAAUUUUAAAUUCUCAUCCAAAUCCCUCUGCUAUAAAUCAGUAUGAAAUCAUCAACAAUGACUUCUCAAAUGCGCUCGCAAACUUUUAUACUUGGUGAUUGGAUUUUCAUAGUCAUUCACCAUCGAUUUAUUCUUGGGUACAGGCAUCUUAGCAAUAAAAUAGUACAAACCAAGCUGGAGAAUGGUAAAUGUUAUUGAGACAAUAAAAAAUAACUAUGUUAUCAAUUAAAUCUGCAUAUUACCCUUUGACAUCAAUGAAAAGAAGUAAAUUUUGAUCCAUGAUUAGCUCAAACAGAUCUUCGUUGUGUGAUAUCUAUUACCCAAAUAAUCGACCUAAUAGGAAACGGUCCAGGAUUUGUCUUAACACACCCCUACUCACGUGCAUGAUGAUAUUAGAUAAAUCAGAAUGAUCGAGUAUUAAACUCAACACACCCCCACUCACAUGCAUGAUGGAUAUUAAGUAAAUCAUACCACGUGCACCGACAAAAAUAGAUAACAUAAAAUGGAAGAUGAGGGAACCGAACUCAAGACCUUUUGGACCAGAAGGGGCUUAUCACUACUUUAAUACCAUGUUAACCCAAAACAUCAAUAUGAUAGGAAACGGCUCAGGAUUAGUCCUAACGAAAUCCAUGAUGGGAUUUAAAUUCAAUUAUUAUAGCUCAUGCAACAUCACUUGAUCCUUGAUUUCUGAAACUAUGUUACGAUUAGAUACCUGUUUGUUGAUCCUGUAAAUUUUCUUAAAACAUAAAAUAAUGCAUAAAUGAUUAAAAAAAAAAGAAGAAUAAACAAAACACAUUAAUCAGAUAGAGAAUAAAACUACCUCACCAGAUCUAAUUCAAAACAUAUCUGAAUUUCAAACCCAAUAAAGUUUUCGAAUAAAAACCCAAAAAGAAAAAGAAAAAUCAAAUUUGUUCCACACAUUCCAAGCCCUAUCAUAAAGAUCAACAACCACAUCCAAAUUUAGCAAUAAAACACACAAAAUUAGGCUCAAAUUUCUCACGUUGCUUCCUUUCCAAACUUGAUACAGCCUCUUGCGAUUCGGGGCCGCGGGUGUCGCCAUUUACCCUUCUCCUCCCCCAAAAUUACGAUCAAAACGCAAAGAAAAAUCGGGAAAAAAAAAUUAAACAAAAGCAAAAACCCAAAUCGAAUUUGGGGAUAUGGGUUUCCAAAAUCAAAUCACGACACACAUUUGGGCCUUUGGGAAGAGCGAUGAGAGAGAAAGAGAGAAAGAGAGAGACAGAGAAAGAAAAAAGAUUCUGAAAUCAAGGGGGUCUCUCUCUAUCUCCCCCCCUCUUUCUCUGUUUCUUUUUUUUUUUUUUCCUCCUCUUUAUUUUGGAUCUGAAACACCUAUUUCUCUCUCAUCCCUGGGUGUUUCUCUCUCUCUCUCUCUCUCUCUCUCUCUAAUAUUUUCUCUCUCUAGCGGAAGCGGGUGUAAUGAGAGAAGAGAAGGGGUUCUCAAUUUUCCCGCGGCGUUUUCGCGGGAAGGUAACGACUCCAACGUGUGAAAGGCAAAAGAAAAGGGAAAACUUCAAAUACCACCCUGUAGUUUCAUACUUUUUCAUUUUAGUAUCCCGUGGUUUAAAGUGUAUCAAUUUAGUACCCUGUGGUUUCGUACUUUCUCAGUUUAGUACCCUGUGAUUUAAAGUGCAUCAAUUUAUUACUAUAUUUUAUUUUUCUCCUUUCGUCGGGUUCUUUGUUAAUAUUUCGUUAAAUUAUAUAAGAAAAACUUCUGAUACCCUACUUAGAUUUUUUGAAUGUUUACUUCAGUACCAUUUAGUUUUAACUUUAUCACUGAUUUUUUUUCCUCCGUUAAUAUUUCGUUAAAUUAUAUACAAAAAAUUUCAGAUAUUAUAUCUAAGUUUAUUAAAUAUUUAUUUUAGUACCCUUUAAUUUUAACUUUGACACUGAUUUAAUGAAAAAAAUUAGCGAAAUGAAUAAUAAAAAGAGAAAAAUGAAACCGCAGAGUACUAACCUGAUAUACUUUAAACCGCAGGGUAUUAAAAUGAGAAAGUGCGAAAAAACAAGGGCUAACUUGAUAUCCUUUAAACUAUAGUGUACUAAAAUGAGAUAGUGUGAAACCACAGCGGGGUAUUUGAAGUUUACCCAAAAGAAAAAGUAAGCUAAUUUACAAAAAAUCCCUUACACUUUAGAAUUUUUUUUGGGGCUUUUUUUGCAAAUAGCCCCCUAACUAAUUUUUUUUUUAAAAUUGGCCCUAUCAAAAAUUUAUUUGCAAAAAUGGCCCGGUCCCACCACGUCAGCGCCACGUCAGCGCCACGCGGGCGGGGCUGGGCCAUGUGUUUAAGUUGAACACGGUGAACCAUUCACCGUAUUCAAUACAAGGUUUUUGUAUUAGACACGGUGAAUGGUUCACCGUGUCCAAUACAAAAUGGUUAACUGCGAGGUAUUUAUAUUGGACACGGUGAAUGAUUCACCGUGUCCAAUACAAAUAAUUGAACACGGUGAAUGAUUCACCGUUUCCAAUACAAACACCCACAACUUAGUCAUUUUUGGCUAAGUUGGAGGUAUUUGUAUUGGAUACGGUGAAUCAUUCACCGUGUCCAAUACAAAAAUCUUGCAUUGAACACGGUGAAUGGUUCACCGUGUUCAACUUAAACACAUGGCCCAGCCCCGCCCGCGUGGCGCUGACGUGGCGCUUGCGUGGCGGGGUCAGGGCCAUUUUUGCAAAUAAAAUUUUGACAGGACCAAUUUUAAAAAUAAAAUUUAUCAAGGGGCUAUUUGCAAAAAAAACCCUUUUUUUUGCUUAUUUUUAUGGAAAAAUCCAACGCAACGAAAAUGCCGUAUUCAGUAAUAAAACAUCCUGAGAAAACAAACUAAACUCGGCAUUUGGCACCUUUGACGCGUUCCAUGCAGAAUCUCCGUGCUCACCAUUUGUAGCUGUAACAUUAUUAGCAAAUAAUUAAACUAGAGCUUGUAUAUAUAUAUAUAUAUAUAUAUAUAUAUAUAUAUAUAUAUAUAUUUUGGUGUUGCCUCCACGUCUUUGAGCUAAUGAUAUACUAAUGGCAGCAUUGAAAUUCGUGCGGAGCUUGUUCUAUUUGUAGGGGCGUUGCUCGUUAUUGCCAUUCGUAUAAGUACAAUCCUAAGAGCGUAUAGUUACAACUGUUUAAUAAUUUUAAUUAUAUAUAAAUUGAAAUGUAGGAUUUGGACCGAUAUAAUUGAGCCUAUUUGUUGCGGCUGGAAUUGGAUAGAGACAAAACUAAUAUAUGAUAGCAAAUCAUGAGCUCUUUAAUAAUGUAUUGUUUGAGAGCUCUAAAAUGAAUCGUCAAAUUACUAUGAUUGUCAAUGAGCCAAAUACGAGCGAGCUAAGCGCAGCUCAAGAUUGACUUGAAACUAAUUCUACCUGAUUUGUAUUUGGCUCGAUUGUCAAUGAGCCAAAUGCGGAAAACUCUCCAGAUACACCCACUGGCCUCUAUUACAGUCAAAUGGUGCCUUUCUUUCCACGUGGAUCCAAAUGUGGGAAAAAGUAUAGGUCAAACUGUGACAUAAAAUUGGUUUGAUGUUUAUUGCUAUAUGCCGGAACUUAUGAAAGAAGCGCAAUAAUAAAAUUUUUAAUGGAUUGUGUAGAUCAUCUGAAGAACAAGCUCGAGUAUCUCACAAUGAUGUGCUAAUGUGAUUCAAAUUUUUAUAACUGGGGGGUUAAAUUUGGGAAUCAAUUAUUGCAGUGGGUCUAUUCACUACUGAGCCCCAGUGACUAUAAUUUAUAUUAUUUGUUUUAUAUGUAACUCCUAUUAUAUUCAAUGAAACGUAUACAUUCUUUUCAAAGAAAAAAAAAAAAAAAAAGCCGAACGCGAGCGAGCUAGGACUAGCUCGAGAUCAACUUGAAAAUGAUUUUAUAUUGUGCCAUCUUGAAUUAACUUUAAUAAGAUAUCAAUAUUAUCUGCAGUUAGUAUUAUUACUAAUUUAUUAUUAUUG